CCCUCACCCACUCCACUGCUCGUUUACGUCGCGCGAGCGCGAGCUCGGUGAAUGGGCGCGCCUCCUCGCCGACAAGGGCGUGCACGACCUCGUCCUCUUCCACAAUCCAGCCCCGCCUACUUGUUCGGCACUGCGCCUCCCCGCCGACAUACUCCGGUGCGCCUCGCUCCACCGACUCUCCCUCGGAGUCUGUACGUUCCCGGAUACCACGGGCACGCCCCGCGGCCCCGACGUCUACUCUUUCCCAACCUCAAGGAGUUCAGCAUGUUAACCGCCAACAUGAGUGAGCACGACCUCAAGCACAUGCUCGCCUGCAGCCCCAAGCUCGAAACUCUGGCCCUCAUCAUCAGCAGAAUGCCCAGACGCAUCCGCCUCAGUGACCAAAGCCUCAAGUGCGCAUGCUUCUCUGGAGUGGUUUGGCAGAUGAGCUCGACGUGGUGGAUGCCCCGUGCCUGGGCCGGCUUAUCCUGUGGGGGGAACUGCUGGUGAUGGUGGUCGUAUGACGCUCAAGAUUGAUCGUGCUGCACCCAAGACUUCACCAACUGCAGAUUGGCGAAACCAUCAUCAAUGUACUAGUAGUACCUUUCAUCUCUUUCAGUAUUGAAGUUUGAACUACCUGUUUCAGCCUUUGAUUCUCCUUCAGUACUGAAGUUUGAUCUACCUGUUUUGUUAACAUUCCCCAUUUCCUUCUUGCACGUUGGAAUGCAGGCUCAGACAAAGGCGAGCCCAAGUUGCUCUGUCCCAAGCAUCAAGAUCUUGGCUUUACAGCUGAAUUUUGCUAUUUUCAAGGAUGUCAGUAUGGUAACCAGCUUCCUCAGAUGCUUUCCCAACGUUGAGACGCUGCACAUUCAGGUGACUUUUCGCACAUUCAUUCAGUUGUCAUUUGCUAAUCACAUAGCUGGGUUCCUCACUGAUGUUGCAGUCUCCUAGAGGUGGUGAAGCCAUGCCACUGGCUGGCACAAUACCAAGUUCUGGCAGGAGGUCCAUCCUAUCAAAUGUUUAAAAUCAAACGUCAAGAAAAUUGUCAUCCAUGAAUUUCAGGGGGACGCAAGCGAGUUUAGAUUCAUCAAGUUCAUUGCCAAGCGAGCGAGGAAGUUGCAGGUUCUGGUGCUUAUGUUGACCAAAGAAAAUUUUGAUUCAGCAGGUGAGGCUGGUAAAGUGAAAUGCCAACUGGACUCAAACUUGUUUAGUUCUAAAAUUUUUUGCAAAAUAGACGCCGUAGUACUUUCGUUUGUAUUUGACAAAUGUUAUCCAAUUAUAGACUAAAUAGGCUUAAAAGAUUUGUCUCGUAAAUUACAGGUAAAAUGUGCAAUUAGUUUUUAUUUUUGUCUAUAUUUAAUGUUCCAUGCAUGUGCCGAAAGAUUCGAUAUGACGGAGAAUUUGAAAAAUUUUGCAAAUUUUUUUGGAAACUAAACAAGGCCAAAGGUUCAUGGGCUACUGAAGGAUGUCAGGUGUUGGUGGUGGGGCCUAACUUAGGCCUUAUUUAGUUCAACCCCAAAACUAAAAACUUUUCAAGAUUCUCCGUCACAUCAAACCUUGCGCCAUAUGCAUGGAGCAUUAAAUAUAGAUGAAAACAAAAACUGGUUGCACAGUUUGUCUAUAAAUAAUCACGAGAUGAAUCUACUAAGCCUAGUUACUCCAUGAUUGGACAAUGUUUGUCAAAUAAAAACGAAAGUGCUACAGUAUCAAAAUCCAAAAACUUUUUGGAUCUAAACAAGGCCUUAGAUUACUCGUGGAGCUUCGCUAAAGCAUCUUUCUAUCAGUCAAAGACCCAUUUUGGUAAUAGUCUUGAAGGUGGCUACAUAUUUCAUGGUGUUAAACCUUGAAGGGAAAGGAUUUACUUGUAAUUCUGUUUUGCUAUGUAUACAUCUACUUCAUGGAGCUCUUUUUAAUUUGUUGGCAUUUCUUUUAUGGAGGUAGGUGUUUCAACUAGCAUGAAUAGCAGUGAGCAUUGAAGUUAAUAGCGCUCUAUGUUCACUCAGAAAGCUUUUAACAUGUUAUCUAAUAUUUUUGGCCGUCACCAUUCCAUUGUUUGAUGUGAUCUCCCCCUCUUCUAUGUGUAAAUUAAUGUUAGGCAAUUGCAUUGCUUGGUGUCUUUGUUGUUAUGAUCCCGUUAAAAAAUGUUCCAUUGCUCAGUUGGUAGCAUGUUCAGCCUGCUGAUUGUUCUCACUGGUUUAAUCAUUAUCAUGACCUGACUUAUGUCUUUCAUUUGUCACAUGAAUUACUUAUGGCCCUUUGUGAACUCUAAUUCUCCUACUAUGAUUCUAUCUUGUGGCAUUUACACAAUUCCAAGCUAUCAGCUGAUGACUCAUUCUGUGUUGAUGAUGAAGUUUUUACUAAUGAUUUGUAGCUUUGGUAGCAUGCUACUGAUUUCAAUAGAUAUUCCUGACCAGUAUUUUGACAGUUGACAUGCUGUGUAAUUAGGUUCACAUUUGACCAAAAUUUUGCGUGAGAGAUUAGGAGGAGGCUUUCCUUACACAGGUAACUGGCCUUGUGCCGCUGCGCUGAUCAAAGUGAAGUACUAUAUACACUUGAGCAGGGGAGUAGAAUUUACGACAGGUCUGGUAAAUAAAUCAAGUUUGUCUGCCUAAAAUAGUGCAAAGUGUGAGAACUGUGCUCGUCUGGAACACCUGUACAGUUUGACUUUCAGUAGAAUAGGGAGAUGAUGUGAGUGCAAAUGUGUAAUGUGCAUACCUAUGUUAAGGAACACAUCUUAUCCAAUGGGUAGGUUUUUUCUUCAGUUUCCUAUAAUAUGCAUGCCUAAAAUCCUGAUUUUUCGCAAGUUUAUACAUCCAUGAAAAAUCACAAAUUUCAAAGACUUUUAGUUACUUAAGUAAAACCUAAAAUCUUGUUGGUUACUGACAAGAUUAGAUGUUUGAAAUGUGAUAGUAAAAAAAACCAUCUAGUUGCGUUUGGUUUCCUUGUUGGCCCUGUAUGGUUCAUAGAAUCGAAUGAAGAAUUGGGACCUAGAAUUAGAGAAGCUGGACGCACAACGUAAUUUGAAUUAGGAAUGGAUAUCUAAUUAACAAGCUAGCCGAUCAUGUUAUGGCGGUUUGUUUCAGGAGCUCUUGAUCCAGCUGUUGCGGAUGCUACCUUUACCUUGCAGCGCAGAGCCGCCCUUGGAUGAUGACGGCAGCCUCUUAUUAACACACGACUUGUUUCGAUUAGGGAUGGCAACGGGCCGGGGUGGCAGGGUCGGAUGGAGCGCCUGCAGACCCACACUCGAGACCCAGCAAUCAAACCUGCCCUGGCCCCAAAUUAUCUUUCGGGUGAAAAUCCUCACCCGAACACUGAACCCAUCGGAGUCCCCGAAACCUGAGUGAAGAUAGCACUCGCUGAUGAGAUAAGGUUUUGUUGCAGUCUUGCAAUGUAGGCGCCCCUAAACAUAGGGGGUCACCAACUCGUUGUCAGACACCAAGGGCUUAGCAACGCCCAUAUAGGAACGUAGUGUCUCGCCAAGUCGCCAUCUCUACCCACCAACCGUGUAGGGGCACCGGGACAAGACCCACUAACUACCGGUGCAUAAAGGGGUUGUUCAUUACUACAGAAUGUUUAAAUCACCAACGGUUUUAAACGCUUUAUCACUGCCGGUUUUUGACCCUUCGGCGGUGAAAGUCAUUGUCGAUUCAUGAUACCUAUUAGAAGAUAAUUAGAAUUUUCAGAAAUUCUAAAAUUAGAUAUAAAAUAGUAAAAAAUAUUUUAAUCCCGAAGAAGCCCCAUGAGCGCCAGACGAAAAAUACAAAAGAUUUUCACAUGGAAAGUCACAAAGUCAUAAGAUAUUUUUGUGGACUUUCAAAAAUUCUAAAAUUAGGUAUAAAGUAGUAAAAAAAUAUUUUAAUCCCAAGAAGCCCACACACAAAAAAAUACACAAGAUCUUUCACAUGGAAAGUCACAAAGUCAUAAAAUAUUUUUUUUCAGAUUUUUCACAUGGAAAGUCACAAAGUCAUAAGAUCAGAUUUUUCACAUGGAAAGUCACAAAGUCAUAAGAUAUUUUUGUGUAGAUUUUUCACAUGGGACCUGUAUCCUAGUGUAAAGCUGCUCUAACCACUUCAUCCCUAAGUCACCUAGUCACCUAUGUCUAGCAUGUUCAUUCUCUUAGUUCAAUCUUUAUGAUUUUAAAAUGAAUAUUUGGGACCCUAAAUGUCUUCAAAUGAAAAAGUCAUUAACUAUAAAGUUGUAGUUCUCAUUGAGAUUUACGACCUUGUUUUUUGUCAUUUCACUAUCCAUAGUCGUUUGAUAGGUUUGAAUUUUAAUUUGUGGGAACUUGAGGUAUACUAUUAGGACCUCAAAUGAUUUCAAAUGAAAAGGUCAUCAACUAUAAAUUUAUUGCUCUCAUCGAUAUUUACAUCUUUGAUUUUGGUCGAUUUUCAAAUGUGGAGAAGUGCAUGGUGGGGGUGCUGAAGUGGAUAUGGGAAGGAAUUAUUUGCCUAGAGUUCGUCUAGGGGCUCUGGGUUGUACAUGUAGAUGGGCUGAUUUGAACCAACAAGGUCAGAUAUUCGAGGACCUAUGGGACUCAUGGGGACCCAUGUACGCAUUUUGAAAUCCAACCCCACCCUGAUCCUAUUUUUGGGCCAAAACCUGUAGAGCCGUUCGUUGAAAACUGCUGAAAGGUCCUUGUUUGGUUUUGGUAAUUGAGUGACAACUUAGGUGGACUAAUAGUGUUUAUAUGAGAUACACAGGAGAUUAGUCCACAGGUGAAGAUGUGAUGAUGGAGGAGCUCAUUGCACAUGAGACAUGACAUGGAGUCAUGUGACCAAGGUGGAGAAUAUCAAGAUGAGGCUUGGCUUGAUGGACCGGUUGCAAGAGUGAAGGGCAAGUCGGAGGCUUUGAAGCGAGGGACCGCGUGUGACGGUGAAGCUUGAGCAAGACUUGGCGCCGAUGGACCGAGGCAACGGUGAAGAGCAAGUGAGGUCAAGAUCGAUGAACUAAUACGGUCACGUGAUGAUAUGAAGUGGAUCAUAUCAUUUGGUGAUUGGUUGGUGCAUGUGUUGCAUCAACAUUGGAGGAGAUGGAAUAGAAAGCGCAAGGCAAAGGUAUAACCUAGGGCUUUUCCAUUUAACCAGUCAUAGGUGUGUAUAGAAGUUUAUGACCGGAUUUAGGAUAGAUGGCCGUACUAUCAAAAGGAACAAACUUGUUUGUAUAUCGGUCAUCUAGUGCCACUUGAGCGAUCUAACUUUGCAUACGUGUUAGGAUCGAGUGGCGUGGCAAGUUUGAGAGGCUAACUUCUUUGGGCAAAUGUUUGUGAAAAUGCUAACACAUAUGCACAAGGUGGUGUACACUUGGUGGUGUUGGCACAUUUACAAAAGAGGUGGAGUUCCUAGGGUUGAGAGGGGUGUGGGUUCCUCUCGGCGGGAUUCGACGCUUUUGAGAAAAUCAAGUGCAUAUUUUCUAUUGCGCCAGUGGGAAAUUUGGAGAAGUCGCGGGGUUGUUUUUCUCUGGAAAAACACUCACCGGACGUAGGCCGUGGAGGCACAGGACGCUCUGCGUGAGCCUCCGGUGCACUGUCAGCUGCUGGCACAAGUGUAGAGUGCGCACCGGACGCUAGCACCGGACGUGGACAGGAUUCUGUUCGAGCGUCCGGUGGUGCAUGACGUCAGCGAGUGCGUGCGAGGUGUUUCUGACUGAAGAGCACCGGACGCUCAGGGUGCGUCCGGUGGCUUGCGUCCGGUGACCCUGUAAGUUUGUGGAGCUCUCUGCUCACGGGUCCGGUGUGCACCGGACGCGUCCGGUGUGACGCAGUAGAGUGUCCGGUGGUGCUGUGCAGGCGCGCGUGCGCAGUAGCCAUUGGUGGCAAUGGUCGAGUUCAAAUGGCUAGUGACACGUGGCUGACGCCUGAGCACCGGACGCUGGGAGUUGAGCGUCCGGUGGCUCCCUGUGAGCGUCCGGUGCCCAUGUGUUUGGCCCAGUGAAGAGGCAACGGCUAGUUUAGCCCUUGGGGCUAUAAAUAGAAGUGGUGGCCGGCCUUGGCUGGUGCUGAGCACCCUUGGGACUUAGUGUCCAUGCUUGGGGAGUGCUAGUAAAGCCUCUAACUCACAUAUGCUUGAUAGUGAUCAUCUGAUUGUAUGAGUGAGCGAUUCUAGUGCGUUGCAUUGAGAGAUUGCAUCGAGUGGCACUAGGUGUUCGUGUUGCAAGCCGGUGGUGCUUGUUACUCUUGGAGGUUGCCACCUCCUAGACAGCUUGGGUGCUUGUGACUCCGUUGAAGCACGCAAGGAGAUUGUGUGGUGCUCCGGAGAAGAGAUUGUGAGGGGUACGGUGCUCACCCCGCGGGGAUCGCGAAGAGCAACUCUAGUUGAGCGAGACAUGAAGAGCGACAAGUGGUCCAACCGGGUCAAGUGCUAGAGCUUGUGGUAAGCACUCCACGUGGGAGAGUGUGACUUGCGGGUCACCACUAGCAAGAGGACCGGCGGCAACCUUGGAGCUUGUCUCAAUGGGGACGUAGCUUGGUGGCAACCCAGUGAACCUCGGGAGAAAAAUCAUCAUGUCAACAUUGUUCUUUCUGUUGGUUUGCAAGUCCCUGACACCAGCUUGUUCUUACAUUCAUAUACUUGUGCUUGUGUAGUUGCUCUUGUAAUUAGGUAGCUUGUGUAGCUUGCUAGUUACCUUCUUGCUUGUGUAGCUAGAAGUAGAACCCUUGCGUGACUAAUUUGGUUUGUGUAACCUUGUUAGUCACGUUGCUUAGUUUGUGUAGCUAAGUAAUUUGCGCUCUCUAAUUUGGCAUUGGUUGCCUUGUUAUUGAGCCUUGCUAGUGAGCUUAGGAGCUUUUGUGCUUUUGCUUACUAGUUGUGUAGGAGCUCCGUAGUUUGCAAAGUACUAGUGGCAUAGGCUUGUGUGACCUUGCUCCUAGAAUUGGUUAGGUAAGCUCUUGCUAAGGUAGCACCUUGCUUGCUUGUUUAGGAUCUUUUCAAGGUGCUAGAGAACUUAGAUAGAGGAGUGUAGUCUUGGCUAGACCGAUAGUUUUAAUUCCGCAUUUGUUUCGGUUAGCCGGCGUAAUAAAUUUUAGAAAUGACUAUUCACCCCCCCUCCCUCUAGUCUGCCAUCUCGACCCUUCAACUGCCCCUGCCCCCAGUCCCGUUGGUUCUAGAACCCACGGGGACCUGUCCCAAACUUGACAUGCUACCACCCCUAGUUUUGAUGAUCCUUCCAUAGCCCAGCAUAUUAAAGCAGUUCCCAACAGAUAAACCUUUUUGCCAUGAGGUGAAGUUUAAUUUAUCCACCUCUAGUAUUGCUCCCAAUUGUAUGGAAUGUCAAUGGCAUCACAACAAGACGCAACUACAUACCAAACCACACAAGCAAUAACACAUUGAAAAAAGAGAUAAGAAAUUGUUUCAUUCUAAUCAUAGAAUUGAUAACAUAUGAUGGGCAUGCAUAGAAAAUUUUGAAUUCUAUGGGGUUUUUUUGUCCUUCCAUAUGUGAACAAAAGACCUCCUUGUUUCAGAGCAUCAGGUGAUCAUAUAUAGAUCUCACAAGAAAAUUCUAUUUUUGAACCAUUUCCACAAGAUCAUACCAUAAUUUCCAUUCAAUCAUAUGCUAAGAAUAUAUAUUAUCACACAAUAUAUUUCAUUCCUCCUUAAAGAUAACUGAGAGCCAUCUGUUGUAUCCAAUGUUGUUACCUAUCUUCCUAAAGGGUUCAUUAAUUGUGAUAUCUUUCUCUAUAGUUAAUUAUAGAGAAUGGGAUGAGAUAAACAUCAAGGCUUAACUAGCAGCUAGGAGUCAGUCCACACAGAAGAAUGUUAUCACCUCUGUAUACAAUACAUCUUAUCUUACAUAUAUUCAGUAUAGCUGGCUACAAAAUGUUGGGUCGCUUUGUCACGCCGGACUGGUCCAGUCGGACCACAUUUGUCCCCAAUGCCUGGAUCCUAAUUCAUCGCGCCCUCAAUCAUCAUUAAAGGAUCCUCAUUCAUCGCUCCAGCAGUCUAGCUGGUUCCUCGCGUCUCUUCCCCUGCACCUGCGCCUCGCCCUCAUCCCUGCCGCCAUUUCCCUCACCCUGCACCUGCCAUUGAAGACCUUGAUCAGUGCCGACAAAAGAUGGUCGACAGUCUACCUAGGGGUAUGCCCAAGUUAGUAGAUUGUCGAUAGAUAGAUGCGCAAGCUACGAACUAGAUGGUGACGCAAGACAAAGACAAGGAUUUAUCUAGAUUCAGCCAUCAUAAGGGCGUAAUAGCUAUGUCCUGUGUCUAAUUGUAUGAUUCUAUAUAUGAGAGAUAUCAAUGAUCUGUCCUCUAGAGGACCCCUAUCCUCCUUAUAUACUUUGAAGGGACAAAGUUAUAAGUAAAGUAUCCUAUUUGGUAUAAUAUCUUCUUAUAGCCUUGUGGUGCACGCCGACCAGUGUCAUGCACCGCACAUCUUCAUCUUGUGGGCUAGGCUAUCUCCGAUGGUGCAGCCCAUGUCGAGCCAUGAGGGUAUAGGGCUUUAUACCCCCAUAGCUAGUCCUCAAACUCCAUGUAUUGUGAUGUGACAUGCCAUCUUGAGCUUCUUCAACUAGUGAGGUUUGAGUUCUUGUAGUCCCUGACCAGCAGGAGUGUUGCCUGAUCAGUUGCAACAGUAUUCCGACCAACGUGGACGAUAGUCCACCACCAUUAAGUCCGAAGAAGCAGGUUGUCCGAAGAAUGCAUGAUGUUCUUGAGAAAAAAGAUUUUUUUUUCCUGGUGAAGUAUGCCAACUUUACUUUCUGAGAAGAAAAAUAAUGGUAACUUGUACAAGUGAGAUUUUAAUCAUUAGAAGCGUAGGGAUCGAAAAAGCGAGAACAUUCACCGCAAGGUGAAGUGCGCCCACUUAGUCCCCGUGCCUAGUAGUAGGUGACAUAGGCACGUGGUGCCAGGGUCUAAAAAGAAAAGUCUACAUAGAAACUUUGAUACUAAGAUGUAUUGCUAGAUCCAUCAUACAUACCGAUGUAGUUCUCGAGCUUGCUGGAAGGCAAAGUAUGAGUCUUGUAGCAAGGUCUAAAAAUUAAAAUCGCCUCUUAGUUGUAUAUGAGUCUAUUUCAUAUGUAACCGAGGAGAGCAGUCUCCAAGCUAUGGUCGGAGAGUGAUCAACGCAGUCCUUGACCACAGCAUAGCGAGUGUCUCCGAGCAUUGUUGGGAAUGUAAACGUGCUCAGUAGUCAGGGCAGUCCCCAAGCUCGGCAUCCGAGGAGUACUGAGGAGUCCUCGAACAUAGCUUGUUGACUGAGGCAAGCUCUUGAAAAAUAAAUAUAAUAAAUAGGUAGUACAUGAUGUAAAUAUGAACUCUGAAGAAACAAUUCAGCACUAGUAUAAUAUGCAGUCGUAACUUUAAGCAAAAACUCUGUUUUUAGCUUUUUUAUACUAAAGUUAGCAUGAGUAGUAAAUUCAUCGUAGAGUUUUGCCAGCUCUGGUCUGACCAACAAUCUAUAGCGUGAGGCAUGAAGCCUAGGCACAUAGGAUUUUCAGCCUCGCCAGAGAGCUACUGCCGACCACCCAAAACGCAGAGGGCGAAUCUCGUGCACGUGUCAGGAGGAGUCAGAGACAGUGCCAGCUUUAGAAAACUCGAGUAGGAGAAAGAGCUAGUUGACUAACCAUUAAGCAAAAAGUUAUUUGAAGAAUAAUCAUAUCGAGGAUAUUAUGGAGAACAUCAUGCUAAAAAUUGAAUUAAACAAAGUAUUAGAACUGUACUUAUCUUUGAAUAGAAAUCUGAUCGUGGCGACGAAAUUGUUGGGUCCUGAUGCUGGUUGGGUAGAUCUGUUGUGGCAUGUGGGUACCUGCUCGGUACAUUGAUUCUGGAUCAAAUCUACCAAAGUUAGGGUUUCAGAGAGCUUAUGGUUGACUUGAUUAAUAGCCUCGAGCAGGUCAGUGUAGUCAAUCUGCCUCCCUUCAUAGCAAGGAAGCAGGCGACGAGUUGUUGGCAUGAUCAGAGACGUUGCUGAAGUGGUUGGAGCUAUAGCCAGCGCAAUUGGAGCUAAAACCGACAUCGGCGAAGAAGUGAUCGGCACAGAUCAGAUAUGCACCUCCUCCAUGGUCGUGGCAGUGAAGCUAAAGUCGGUGGUCCAAGUGAUAUGGGUGAUGGUGAACAUGAGGCUGUCUGCCACGACCGUGGAGUCGAGGAUGAUGAUCAUCUGGUUUGCGUGGGUAGCUAUACGCAUACUUCCUACCUGGCGCGCCAAUGUCGAGGAAAGAUGGUCGGUAGUCUAUCUAGGGGUAUGCCCAAGGUAGUAGAUUGUUGGCAGACAGAUACGCAAGCUACGAACUAGAUAAUGACAUAAGACAAAGACAAGGAUUUAUCUAGGUUCAGCCGCCGUGAUGGCGUAAUACCUACGUCCUGUGUCUGAUUGUAUUAUUCUAUAUAUGAGAGAUAUCAAUGACCUGCCCUCUAGAGGACCUCUAUCUCUCCUUCUAUAUUGUGAAGGGACAGAGUUACAAGUAAAGUAUUCUAUUUGGUAUAAUAUCUUCUUGUAGCCUUACGGUGCAAUGCCGACCAGCAUCGUGUGCCGCAUGUCUUCAUCUUAUGGGCUAGGCCACCUCCGAUGGUGUGGCCCAUGUCGAGCCAUGAGGGUAUAGGGGUUUAUACCCCCAUAAUUAGAUUUGACGAUGCUCUACUACAAUCCGAGAUCACAACGCAAGAAUAUGUUUUGGCUGCUUCUCCGUAUGAAUGCUCAAUUGAUCCAAGAACGAAGGGACAUCGCCCAAAUUUUGUUGCAGGUUCCUCUAUACUGCAGCCCCCUAUCACGACAUCCUAGUGUAGUACCUUAAUCCUCCAAUGGAAGUGGCUGCUGGAGAGGCGCCAAACAUCCAAGCCAGGAAGCUACCUCAGGUCUCUGCUGGAUGCUCAGAAGUUGUUGCUCGUAUCUAUACUCUACACAUCCCCAUCAGGCUAGCAGAGACAUGCUACAAAGGUGAUUUAUCUUAUCCAUGUGUCAAUUUUACAUUAUACAUACUUGUUCACUGAUGCCCCGCUGCAACUUUUGCCUCUGUGAACAAUUGUUUAUUUGUAUUCAUAGUUCCUAUUUACCAAUGCACAUUGCUGGUUUGAGUAGGCAUCUCAAAUCGGGCUGCGUAAGUUUACAUGAUUCUUGUGAUUUUAAUUAGUAAUUGUUGAUGUUCCUGCUUUCAACCAAAAUUUUGUGGAUCAUUCUAGCUAUUUUUAAGUAGUAAUUGAUAUUCCUGUUCAUGGUAAAUUUGAUCAUUCUAACAUAUUUUUACCAUCAGUUUUACUAUUUCAGUACCUAUAUAUAUUCGUUGUCCACAUGUCUUGUAAAUAUACUACAAGUUCUUGUAACUCUUCUUAGUGCAAAAUAUUUCUUGUAAAUAUUACUGUAAGUUCUCAUAAAUGUUCUUAGUGCAAAAUCUCGUAAAAAUUUCUUAGUACAAAUUCUCGUAAAUAUUUAUUACUGUAACAUAUUCAUUCUAUUGUUGUAAAUAUGCUUACCACAUGACUUACUGAUUCUUUCAUAGGAAAUGAGGCCGAACUUGUUUAAGGGAGAUUGAAAUCAUUCAUCUUGCACACCACACAGGAGGAUUUCAACAUUGAUAUAAGUGAUGUCACUAGUGUAUCUUAGACACUAUCACCUCAACCAGUUCAUCAACAACCACCGUAUUGUCCAGGACCAUCGGCACGCCCUCGUUUAGAGGAGGACAAUGGUGAUGAGUGAUGACGACUUCAUGCAACCCCCAACUAGGCACUGUACAAUAAUCAAUGUCGUACUACAAAUAUUGUUAUUAAUGCAUGUAGAGAUGGAAAACUGCAGAAAAAAUGCCUCUCGCACGGAUCCACCUACAAAGGUAUACUACUAUUGUGUCUAAAUUAUUAUUAUUUUUCCAAACAGUAUCUCAUUACAUUUUUACCAUAAUAGUUCCUUAUUUUCACUCUUAUUAUUUAGCACUUACUUUCAAUAAUGACACAAGUCACAUGUCUCCUUUCUACAACCUAAACAACAAAAGCUUACCAAAUAUCUUCAUGCACCAACUGUUCGAUGUGCACCUUCAAUUUUCAACUCAUUUAUUGAUCUCCUCACCAUGAGCCAGCGUACCGGAAUCAAUAAUAUGAAUUUUGGCGGCCUCCUCCAGAUCCAAGCAGACAAGCUAGUUAGCAGAGAAAUAUUGAAGUAUCUAUAUGACAGGCUAGACCCUGUAACUAUGAUGUUGGUUCUUGCUAAAGAUAGGGUUAUACAUAUCAAACCUUUUACUGUUAAGCAAGCGUUUGGAAUUCCAGACAGUGGCGAAGAAUUAUCUCUACACAACCCUGUCUGAUUUCAAGGAUUUUAUUGGUUUACAAUAUGCUGAGGAUGUGCACAUGAAGUAUCUACAAGAGAUCCGGGAGGACGACAUUGAGCUAGACUCCAGGAUGCUUGACGACGACAUGUGCAUUAAAAUUUUCUUUAUGAUCGCGUCUAACAAGCUGUUGUUUCCUUCCUCAGACAACAACUUAUUUGGCUAGGAAUUUAUCUAGACUACCCACUAUGAACUGGUGCAAGGAUGUUACCAAUAAAAUCUGAGAAGUUGCAUGCACGUGGCGCCUUGAUAGAACAAGUAAAGUUUCGCCUUCAAUUACAGGAUGCACAAAUUUUUCCGUUGGUCAGUUUCCCAUUUACAUACAUAAUAUGCCUUCAAAUAUUAUGAUAUAGCUGAUUAGUUAGCCACAUAUUUUAUAAUAAAGUUAUUCUCCAAUAUUUCCAUUUUUGUUGGUGUAGAUAGUGUAUUUGAAUAACUUACGCUGCAAACACCAGAUCAAUCACAAGGAGAUUCCCCGUGCCAAGUACUUCAAUUAAGAUUUGAUUAAAAAAUAAUUGUUGUUGAUAAGACAAAGGACGACCAAGCAAAGGUCACAUUUGGGCGAUUACCUGUGACAAACAAUAACUAUUGUCCUCCAUUUUUAAAGGCAAUCCUCUGUGUCAAUGCCUAUUUACUACCACUUACCUAUUUCCAUUUUAUGUGAGCAGCUUAGGGACAUCAAUGAUGCUGUUUACUCAUAAUUCUAUUCCAGAAAACUAGCAAACAUUCAACCUGUGUCUACUAUGCAGUUCUCUAGCAUUCUUUCAGAACUAGUUGGAGUAGUCAAUGUGACGGUUGCCAAGCCAAAGAGGAAGCUGUUAGUGCAAGCUUUUGUAGAAUUUGACAUCAAAUCAAAAAGGGCAACAACUUACUUAAACAUGGGAAAACUAAUGCUACAGACUUCACAUGACCAGCUCGUUGCAAAGGUGCGGUCAAGUUUGGAGAACCAAAGUUUUGAGAAUAAUAGCAUAGAUCACCAGGCUCAACCAACCGCUCCUAGUGCAGGUCCACAGAUCUACCCACCACUUACUCUUUUGUUCAAAAAUAUUAGUUAAUCUGACCUUGUUUAUUGUUUGAUGAAUGAAGCACAUGCCAAUGAUCUUGACAUGCAUGAUAUCCAUAACAGCGUAUAGUCUGAACAUGUAACCGAAGUGCCAAAUCAUUCUAAAAGUAGGGGAAAUCAGUUAUUUGUUGAUAAUUGUAUUGGUAAAUGCAACUGCAGUUAUGUCUCCACUAAUUUACAUUUUAUUUGUUUCAGGAUAUGACAUAACCAAACAUAUACCAGGAGGCACACGUGCCAUUGCAACAGAACAGUCCCACGGAGGCUGUGGCACCACAGCUCACACGGAUGCCUCAGUGAAUCAUUUUUAUGUGGUUUAACAAUGCCCAUAGUGGAGUUAUGUAGAUAUUUGGCCUGAACAAUGUCUUGCCAAAUGCCCUUUUCAUGUUCUAGUUUCUUCCACCAAUACCUACACAAAAGACUAAUGUUAAUUAUCAUCAAAUCUUCUAUACCUAGACCUCCCUUCCUUUUGUUUUACAAAUAAUAAGCACCCAUUUCACAAGAUUAUACUUUCUCUUAGUGCUACCACGCCUCUCCAGAAAAAUAUCCUCCUUAGCUUAUCUAGCUUCUUAAUCAUGGUUUUAGGAAGACAAUGGAUGGAGAUAUGAUAUGUAAGGGGAUUGGAGAGACUAGCAUUUAUUAAUGAUGUGGUACUAACCAGCAAUGGAUAAGAUGCUACCUUGUCUUGCCUAGUUUUAAUUUUUAGCACUCUUUUCUUCUAAUGGCAUCCAGUUCACAACAUGGAGAUGUAUUUAUACUUAUUUAAUAUAAGUACAAAUAUUUCAAUUAUGCUAUACAUAAUGCAAAAGUAAACAGUUGAGAAAGGUAAAAGAAGGAAGCCUAAAAAUUUGUAAUGUCGUCAUACUCUUUGUGGCUUCAUUGAACAAAAAUUAUCAAUAGCAAGUGCACCACUUGUAAACUCUAGUGUAAAUCUCCUCUCAACAUAUACCAUAAUUUUUGUAUAGCAUACUUGCUAUUGAUAAUUUUAAAGCCACACGGAAUAAAGCUUACAUUUUUGUUCUCAAUAUAUAGAACUGGCACACUUCCUUUAGAACUCAAUAUAUAGCAUAAUUUUUGUAUAGCAUCAUAUGCCUUUAAAUUAACUCCAUGGAAACCAAAUGUUCCAUUUCAUUUUAAAGCCUUGUCUUAAUAACGUGUUCCACUGUGAAAAGUGAAGACUCCUUCAAGAAACAGAUAGUCAAACAAACUGAAACAAUUGUGUUCCUAUAGGCUUUAGACAUUCAUGAUUAUAUCCUUCAAAGAUUAAUAAGAAAGUUACUCAAUUAGCACAUCAAAGAGAUAAAAUUGAAUAACAAAGCACAAAUAAUGAGGUGCUUGGUCUGAGGAAUGGCGAAUCAUCACCUUCUCCCUCCUCACAGUUUUUGUUCAAGUUAGGGAAUAAAAUGAUGGGUUGAUCAAUGACCAUAUCACUUCAGGCAUCAUAUACAUAUGGUUGCCUAUUAUCUAAAAAAAUAUACAUAUGGUUACCAUAAACAUGUGGGACGGGACACUCAACGAGAGAAUUUAUGGGAUAAACUCAUGAUGGACCAUCAUUUAAGAUGAGAUGAUUUAUUUCAUAAACCAAACAUCUAAAGGACGAAUAGCUAGGCUAUUGAUGUUUCACAAAGAUCUCCAGGUCUCGGUUCGUACAUACUCAUUGCCAGUCACCUCACCAUUGCUCGAGUACUCCUGCCCUAGCUGCCUAUGCUGCCUCAAGGCCUCAUAAGCUACAGUAGUGUCGUUGGUAGCGAUAGUAGGAGUGUAUGUAGGACUGGAGAAGGGCUCUCUCUUCAGUUGAAUUAGACACAUGUUGUGAGGCAAACUGGAAGGACCCCAUCCAGUAAUCACGCAAUAAUAAUGCGGUAGCAAAAUCAGCACUUGGAGCCUGGAUGCAUGUCAUCAAUACAUAAAAAACAUGAAUACAUAAAUCCAAGUCGGACCAGCUAUAGUGCAAACAAAAUCUUACGAUUUUGCGCAAUGAAUUACUGGUCAGAGCACUAGCAUGCAACUUCUUACCGGAGGGCAUAUGAUGCUCCUUAUGAAUGUCAUCACUCUUGAUGUCCUUCCAGAAUACUACGUGCAAACAACAGUUUUCAUAACAUUUCCCACUAAUAAACUGUAAUAUGUUUAAUCAGCCAAUCAUCACAUCCACUCAAAACCUAUACUGGAUCAGACGGGUUCCUAAUAGAGCAAAAAAAAAGUUUGUUCAAGAUAGACGUAGCAACUGUGAACACUGGUUAAUAAUCUAAUAACCUGCAAUUGAUCAAUAGCUGUACAGUGUACACAGAUAUUAUAUUAGUGGCAGUUAAUGAAAAAACAAUAAGAAACUUCUUAAGCUGUGGUUGCAGUUUGUUCUGUUUUUUUUUCAAAAAUAAGAAAAUUCAGAAAACAUCAACUAAAAUGUUGAAUGUAUGCAAAAUUGCAUUUAUCUUGGAAAAGGAUAUUUCUCUGGAGCAUAUUUAACUUUGCUUCUAGCCAAAAUAACAUUGUUUAGAAACUUCGAAUCAUGUUAGCCAGGCUAGAUAUGAGAUGACAUAUUAAGGCAGUAUGAUGAAGAUUUCCACCAGUGUUACACCUCUAGCUAGGGCUGUAAGGAGUAGCUAGGAACCAAAAAAUAUAUAAACACACUGUUGAUUCUGUAUCAGUUCUCUAUCAAAUUCUAUUAUUUGAUAUCUGGGAAAUAAGCAUUUACUAAUAACAAAGAAGAACUUGAGGAAAUGUUGACAAAAGAAAAAACUUGUAAGUUUAACGUUAAUUCAUUAUUGAUCUAGAUAUUAUAUAUAUGUCUAUUAGUUAUUGUCACCUGCUGUGCAGAUAAACCUAGCAUAAGCCUAGCUAGUUUUUUUUGACGGCAUGUUUAGGAUCCAUGUUAGUAAAUAUACUAUGCAAUUAUAGUCACACAGAAGUGUUUAAUGAUAACUAAACAUUUCAUGUACUAGUACAAUUUAAUUGGUUAAGUGGUAGAUUAGAUGCACCUAUGCUCCGCAAAUGGAUGGAUCGGAGUAGCAUACUGCUCCGCUUCUGUGUUGACCUUAUUACCUGAUUUUAAGAGCACAAUAAUAUCACGCUUCAUUUCUUUUAUUAAAAAAAACUCAUUAGGUACACCUCUAACAUGUCAUAACCUAAAACAUAAAUUAGAGUCGCUGAGCUUAUGAGCCCAAUCUACUAGCCAUUUAACAGCGUUUUUCUCUUACAACAAAUCAGCCGACAAUAUUUUCUGUCAUAGCUUAUCAGGCAAACGAGAACAAGGCAAACAAUAAAUCUAACGCUAAUAGACCUGACUUAGUUGGUUCGCUUGUCAGAAAAACCAUGGCCGAAAGUACUAUUCGCUGAUUUAUUAUAAAAGAAAAACACUCUUGACUGACAGAAAAAAAAUAUAGCUUAUAAUACAAGCGAAGCUGGCACAGAGCUUCCGACAGAGGCUAGAGUUUAAGGCCCCCAAUAUAAAAUGUAGAAGUUUAAGCUUUGCGUGCCGCCAACAAAACCUUGGUGAUCACCCGGUGUUGCUGCAGACCUGACUGGCCUUGAGUCGCCAUAACUUUAUUUGAUGGCUGCCUUUAACAAUGACUUGGCCCCCCUUCCCUAUCGCUUCAUGCAUACUUAUCUUCAAACCAGAUCAAAAUUUCAAGCAUGCACAGGCAUAACAAAAUAUCUGGCAAGGAUGCCUGAUCAGAGUAUUUGUACUUUUCCAUGUUACACCCAGCAAAAUAGCAGAAAUACCCAGUGUGCAGAACAUUUCCCUUUGUGGUAGAAUCUGUUUAAUCCAUCUAAAGUAUAGUUGCUGGUGACAAAGGUUUAUUUUCUGUCUUGCUCUUAUUACAAAUCUUUUUCAAGCUACCACAGUUCUAGGGAGAAGCAACAAACACUAAGAAACAAAUACUAGAAUAGAUCCAUGCAUGCAUAUUGCAUGCUAAAACUUCAGUGAAUGGUACAUUGCGCAUAUCACUUGCAAUGCAAGGAUCAUGCAUGAAAUAGAGGUAGGGGCUUCAAAUAUACUCAAAAGGAUCACUAAGUGACAGAUCAGAUGCUGUGCUGUACUCCCAUUCCUUGUGAUUACCGGUGAUGAUAUCCAAUGUACUUUCUUCACUAGCCCAUUUAACCUCAGACAUAGAGUUCAUUAAUCUAGCCUUCAACAAACUGGGCGGUUCCAUAAUACUUCCACUGAUGGUAAUACGCAUAUGCUCCAGCAAGGUACAUGUCUGUGCAAUGCUUUUAAUGAACGAGAGCUCGCUGUUGUUGUCCAUACCAUGGAAGUGGUAAAAUGAAAAUUUCUUUAUUUUUGAAAUGCAGGUGAUGAGACUGAAAAUGUCAUUGUUCCAGAAAUCGGGACCACGCUCAUCAUCUGCACGACGAAGUGGAGCCGGUGCAGACUGCAAAAAUAUAUGCAUAUAUAUGCAACGGGUUAUUCACUAACGAAUCAACCGCAUAAUAAAUUGGCAUGUAUUUUGCACUGUAGGGUUAGUUACCUGGAUGUGCAAGGUUCUAAUAUUAGGAAAAACUCUGAGGUAAGCUACGAGCGUCCUUUCGUCCUCCCGUACUCCAAACCGUAUCUUUAUUGCCAAGAUCUCAACGCUAGGAAGCAUAACGUCCGGUUUGGGCCUUGUCCCCACCUGCAAUAUAAUAUAUAUACCAGGUGAUUGAAAAUACAAAAGAUAGAUGCAAGGAAAUGUUGAACAUGACAUAUCAUGAUGCAUGUUAAUUAGCGCCUAUGCGUGUGUUUGGGUUCACGCUGCACAGUAGAUGAGCCAACCGGUAUCGCUAGGGCUUCACCGGUCGGCUUCUGAUUGUUUUAGAAGAGGGGAGAGAAAAUCUGCUUCAUGAACGGUACGGUGUCCGCUACCAUACAUGAACAGUGAAAUAUCAGGUAGGAAGCUGAAGCUGCAAAGAGCUAUGACAAAGAGAGCACAUGCAUGGAAACAAAAUCUAAUAGAUAGAUAGAUAACUAAAAAGCAGCUGCUUCAUCAUACAUAUAUACCAGGUGACUGAAAAUGCAUGUAAAGCCUAUAGAUAUAUGCAAUGGAAAGGAAGGAGGGUUCGGAUGGAGCUUCAUAGCGCGUCUAACUAAAAAUUUAUCUCCUUUUCUCGGGCUAAAACUUUACUAAGAUUGCUGAUCAAUAGCAAUUAUCCAAUAGAGAAAACAAAAUGUCCAAGAAAUAGAAAUUACAUGCUUUAAGCAUGUACACAGGCUACCCAAAUCGACUAGAGAACCUAAUCAUCUGGAUGCUUGUGCUUCCGUUUGAACAUAUUGAAACUAGCUAGCUAGCUAGAGAUGGGGCUCUGGAUGACAUGGCUAUUGCGAGACACUACGCGCGGCGCACACGAGAGAGCAACGAGACUGGGAACACUGAGGCAAACAAGCAAUUAUUCAUCAAGCUUCUAAUAAGCAAACAUCAAGACAACUACUCAACUAGCAAUUACACCACCAAGCACCAUGCAGUCUAGCUAGAAAAUAACUAUAUACGCAUAUGCAGCCAUACAUGUGCAGUGUAGUACGAUAUGCAUGUUGUGAUAUGUAUCCUUUGAAAGUUCAUUCAUCGACGGCAAGGGGGGGCCGGAGGCCGGAGCCCACUAUAUAUGGCCCCAACAUGGCUCUGAUCCGCCGGUGUGGGCACAUAUAUCAUGAUAGAUAGAAUUGAAGGUUAACUAAUAAAGACAUGGAAACACAGCAUCAUAUCAUAGAUAGAGGACAAGCAACUGCUUGCUUCAUUCACGAUCGAUAUAUGCCGGCCGUACCUUGAUGACCGUGUCCCCGCUCUCGAGGAUAUGGAGUCUGGGAUCCAGGUAGCCAAGAAUCCGAAGGUUGGGGGCUCCUCUUACUAUUAUCCUCGUCCGUGGAGGGACGAAGAACUGGUUGGUUCGCCACAGAAUGACACGCUCAAUGCGCGGCGCGUCCACGGUGAGCUUCAGCGGCUUGAACUGCCAGAGCAGCAAGCACUCGAGCCUGGGGCAUAGGACGUCGAGGUACGGCGGCACCCCGCUGCCUUCGAUGAAAGCCAGCAUCUUGAGCACCGGGCAGCCGGCGAGGAAGUCACGGAUGUCAGUUUCUGGCACGAACGCGUGGCACAGGACGAGCUGCUCCAGGUUGGGAAAAUGAACAGCGCGCCGGUGCCCCGGCCUGCCGGGCACCGGUAGGUGCGGCAUCUGGGAGAGCGCCAGGUGCAGGCGCUUUAGGGAUUGGCACCGGAGGAGCUCGACGGAGAGGACCAUCAUGGCUGUCGGCCACUCACAGUUGAGGACGACCAGCUCCUCCACGCCCUUGGCGGCCAUGAUCCGGAGCCACGCCCUGAGUGAGCUCGCCGGGGACGAGGUGAGGCGGACCAACCGGAAGGGGCCCGGGUGGCUCCGAAGGAUUGCCGUGACCUUGUCCCAGACCACGUCCCUUGAUAUGUCCUCGAUAAGUUCCGUGUCCUCGUCGUCGUCCACGAGCUCGUCCACUCCGGCGGGCCGGAGCUGGACAUCGUCGAGGACGAGCGGGAUCGAGGACCAGAUCGAGCGCCAGCUAGAGGAAAGCACGACGGUGGCGCCUCCGUCUUUGACGGGUAGCUUGGAGACGAUUGUCCGCUGGAUAUCCUCAGGGAGCUGGCUAAUGCGGUCCUCCUCACUGGAUCCGGCGAGCGGGACGACGACUGCGGCGGCGUCGGGCUGGGCAGCGUUGGUAGUAGGUGGCGGCGGAGGGAGGAAUCGGAGGCAAGUCCGUGCUGGAACCAUGGUGGACUGGCGGCUGGCGGCUGGCGGCGUCGGGGUGACGAAGGUAGGAAAUGGGGACGACUGACUGACUGAGCGCUCUGACUCACUCUGACUGCCCUAGCCCCUGCCUACCUAGGGUUUGGUGCUGGGCUAGUGUCGGAAAAAAAAACAUGUGGGCCAACCGGACCGGGCCUACUACAAGAGUGUCCUUUUCUUUUUCCUUUUUUAUAAAAAGUUUCCUGGCCUUUUUCCGCGUAGAGAUAGGAAAUAACAAGCCUAACAGUGGUUACGGUACAGAUAUGGGUGUGGAUACCUCGCUUUUCAUUCGUUGAUGGUAAAAAUAUACUCGCAGUACUAUACUGACUCCUAUCACAAAAGAAUAUAACUAUAAGAUCCGUGAUCAUCAAACUUGUUUAAAUUUAUAGAAGUUUUAUAUAAGGUCCGAUUUGACAAAGCUUAGCUUUAUCAUUAAAGCUUUUUUUUUGUGCAAAACAACUUCAUAUGAGCAGUUUUUUUGUUGAAGCUGAGUUGUUUCAGAAAAAUUAUUUGGCAAAACAACUUCACAACAUGGACCAAAUGAAUAAAAUGACUAUAAUACCUCUUGUUUAUUAUUGUUCUUCUAUUUUUUCUCAUGAGAUUUUUUCUUCGCACAUCUUCUUCCACCACCAUUCUCCUCCCCUUCCUCGGCGGCGGCUUCUUCCCCCACCAUUCUCCUCCCCUUCCUCGGCAGAUCCGCCGCCACCCCGUGCCCCUCCAUGUGCCACUACAAGCCCCCGCCCCUGCCUUCGUCCCCCAUGCUCUCCAUGUCGCCGCAGGUCCUAUGCUCCAUCGCCGAGGCUGAUGUCCCCAAGGCCUUCUCGGCCUCGUCUUCGGUCUCCUCAGCUUUGGCGACCGAGCGCUGCUCCCUCGUGUGCUGCCACUGGCUAGCUGUAGAUGCCGCCACCCGCCUGCGCCUCGCGCUCGACGCCAGGUCACUGCUGCUCGCCAACUUUGCCCUUUCCCACCUUGUCGCGCGCUUUCGUGUCGUCUAUCAUAGCAGCUAAAAGCCCUAGUUUGGUUUUAGAUAAUUGAUGAAACCCAAAGUACUAACUUCUAUGCUAAGUGUCUGUAGAUUAGAUAAGGUUAGUGCAUACGAAGUAAUGGAGCAAGAGAUGAUCAUGGUGAUAAUGGUGAUGACCACAAGGUGAUCAAGUGCUCAACUUGGAAAAUAAAAGAAAGAGAAAACAAAAUCCUAUGAAGAUCAAGGCAAAGGUAUUGCUUAGGGUUUUGGUUUUGGUGAUCAAGACACCAUAGAGGGUGUGAUCACCUUUAGGAUAGAUAGUCGUACUAUUAAGAGGAGAAUUCUUUGGCUAAGCGGUUAUCGAGUGCCACUAGGUGACAUUGUUCCUGUGCAUGCAUGUAGAACCUAGUGUGCUAACUUAAUUCUUGAAAAUGUUUAUGAAAAUAUGCUAACACACGUGCACAAGGUGAUACACUUGGCGGUUAGCAUAUUUGAGCAAGGGUUGAAGAGGUGGAGAGGGGUUUGGGUAUCUUGCUUUUGAGAAAAUAAAAUACAUAUUUUCUAUUGCGCUGGAGGCCGACUUGAAGAGGAGGCCAAGUCAUGGGAGUGUUUCUCGGGCGUCAGACGCUAGCCCAGCGUCCAGUGCGUUGUGGCCGAGUGACGUGCUUCUAGAUAGUGCGUCGGAGCGUCCCACGAGUAGCGUCAAAUGCAGCUAGGGUUUGUGAGUUGUGCGCGUCAGACACUGGCAGCGUCUGGUGCCCAACCGUUGAACGCGUCCGAUGACCCUACGUGUUUGCAGACCUCUCGGAGUAGCGUUCGAUGCCUAGGUGUCGCGUCCAGUGCAUAGCACCUGACGCGUCCGACGCGUGUUACCUGCAAACUUCGACGUUUAAGUGACCGUUGGAGAUCAAUAUGUCAUGUUUGACUGAGGACACGUCGCAGCGAUCCAGCGGUGCUGUCAGGGGACCGUCGGAUGCUAGAGCUACGGCGGACACCCCGGAUAGAGGGUGUUUUCAGAGCCUAACGGCUCUAUUCUUUGGGGACGCUUAUAAAUAGUGUUUGGCCAGCUUGGGGCUUACUCUCUUGGCAUUCUAACACUCUUGACACCUUUGUGAGCCUAACCAAACACAUCCUACUCAUCUCCAUCAUUAAUUCAUCAUCACACUAAGAUUGGGAGUGAUUCCAAGUACAUUUGCUUAAGUGAUUGCAUCUAGUGGCACUUGAAGAUCGUUUGAGCUAUGAUUUUCUUGUUACUCUUGGUAGUUGCCGCCACCUAGACGGCUUGGAGCAAUGGAGUAGGAUUGGGAUUGGUACAAGUUGGUGAUUGUUCGUGGCCAUCUCACGGUGAUUGUGAGGGAUCUUGUACCUUCCCCGGCGGAGAGCCGAAAUGUAACUCUCGUAAAUUACUUGUGUCAUUGAGUUACCUCACUUGUGGGUAUGUUCUUGCGGUGUCCUAGUGAGGACGAGGUUCGUGCAACACCUCUUAGCCACCAAACCACCAAGUGUUGGUCGACACAACGGGGACUAGUGUGCCAGCAAACACGUGAACCUCAAGAGAAAAUCUUUGUGUCCAUCUCUUGUGAUUGAUUGGAUUUCUCCUGGUGAUUGGUCUUCAUCAUAUUGAUUGGUUCACUUUCCUCUACGUGUUGGUAUAAAAUUCAUUCUUACUCCUUUACAUUCCCGCAAACUAGAGUAGCUUAAUUUUUUUUAUAGAAACUUAAGGUAGCUCUCUAGUACAAAUAGUGACCUAGUCAUUGAUUGAAUUUAGAGAUUAUAGCAACUAGAAUUGUUGGAUAGAUGGCUUGCAAACCCUCAAUUAGAGUUAGAGCAAAAUGCUUUGCUUUGUUAUUUACUAACCUCUUGCUCUAGUGAGUCUGUAGAUUUUUUAAAUAGGCUAGUCAUCCACCCUCCCCCUCUAGCCAUGCAUAUUAGGACCUCUCAGCAGCCUCCCUUGGCGACCUCUAGCGGUUGCGCUUGCGCUCCCUAUAGCAGGCUUUGCCCCCAUGACUGUGUCCUUAGCAAGAUGUGCCUCCACCCACGCCUCCGAUGCACUCCUCCCAAAGAGAGAGGGCACUUGCAGUCUUUUAGGUUCACUAGAGCCCACUUAUAUAUGUGAUGAUAGUACUUGCAGAUUGGUCAUUUUGAUAAGUCUAUUAGCCACAAAUAUCAAAAUACGGUAUUUGAGUUGCAUUGAAAGAUAAAAAUUUUAGACAAUGGCAUAUAGAAUUCCCCUAAAUGAUAAAAGACAAGGCAACAAUUUCUCUAGAAAGAAACAUAAACAACAAAAAAUACAAUAACUAGGAGGAUUCUCCGCGCGUUAUCGUGGAUAUGAAGAAGGAAUAUAAAUAGGCUAGAAUGUGUAUUGCCUAGUUGGACAACUUGCAUGUUUAGAGAAAUAUGUGACUUGAUGACGUGAACAUUAGAAUUGCAUGAGUUAGUGGAUUUUAAUUGUGUGUGAUAGUGUAUUGCCUAGUUAGAUAGCUUGCAUGUUGCGAGAAAAUAAGUAGUAGGGUUUUGCUUUAUAAGAGUAUAAGAUGAAGACAUAAUGGCAUGUGUUAGUUCGAUGUGUUAGUGGAUGUUCAUGUGGACACUUUGCAUGGUGAGAUAGUUGAAUGUGUUAUGUGCUAGUGGAAUGCUGUAGUGGAUUGCUCGCAAAAAAAAGAAUGUUGUACUGGAUGCUGAUGUGGAUAUUUUGCAUGACAAGAGAAAUAGCUAGUGGAGUUUAUCUUUAUAAGAGAUAGAGAUAAGAAUUCCAUGUGAAUAUGAAAAUAAACAGAAAAAACACAAUAUACAACCGACAUAUGUAUAAUAGAAAAAACAUCACAGCUCAUAGCUUAAACUUUCACUUCACAUUUUCACCUAGAAAUUCAAUGAAAUGAUACAAAUAAAUACACAAUUUAUUUAAAAGAUCUGAGAUUUUUUAUUAAAUUUUAAAAAACGAGAAUGCUUGAAAAUCAUCCAUAUUCUGCAACUUCAGCUUAAAGAACAGCAGCAGUUAGAGGAAGCAACAUAUCAGCAUUCCGUCAUCAGAAGAAAACUCCAAACAUGAACUAAACAAGGAAAACUCUAGGUAACCCCCUCAAUUAUAUAUGGUGGACUACUUCAUCCCUGAGCUAUAGUUCUACCUCUGAACUUUCCAAAUAAAUAGGUUGAAUAACCCCCUCAAGUAUUUUUGGAUGGCAGUUUUGCUACAGCGUGGUUUUGUCAUUUUAUUUAUUUAUUUAUUUCCAUUGAAUCUUUGAAAAAUCAUAGUAAAUCAUAGAAAAAUCAUAAAAAUGCUAAAUCUAAUUUUCUUAGACUCCACAUGAGUAGAUCUACACAAUGAACAUAUAAUAUAGCAUGCUUUAGUAUAAAGUUUUUGCUGUAGCUUUAGAUUUUUAAUUAAUUAGAAUAAUUCAUAGAUCUAAAGCUACAACAAAAAAAUUAUACUAAAGCAUAUCAUAUUACAUAUUCACCAUAUAGAUCUACUCAUGUGGAGCCCAUAUUAGAUUUUUUAUUUUAUGAUUUUUCUGCGAUUUAUCAUGAUUUUUCAAAGAUUCAGCAGAAAUAAAUAAAAAAGAAAAACACAAAACACCAUCACCGUAGCAAAACCACCGUCCAAAAUCACUGAAGGAGUUAUUCGACUGGUUUAGAAAGUUUAAGGGGUAGAAAAAACUAGUUUAUAGUUUGGGGAAGAAAGUAGUCCACCUUGUAUAUAGUUGAGGGGUUAUGUAGGCUUUUUCCAACUAAAAAAUAGCAACACAUAUGUUAAAAUUUAAAAUGAAUGACUAUUGUCCACUUGGGAAAUGUUUCAAUUCAGUUUCCAGUCAAAAGCAACAUGAUUGUAAUAAAGCAGUAUAAUUUACAUGACUAGAUCCAUCACACGAAAAGAAGUAACAUCUAGGCGUCCAACACAAACAAGGCUGAUAACAAGGCUACAAAAUUGGGUGCAACUGGUAGACAAGAUUAUCAUAAGCACAUCAAUCCACACCCCAUAAACAUCAGAUCAAAUGGUGGGAUAUAUAACAACCACCAUGCAGUGCAAAGAAAUAGAAAUUCAUUCUACAGCUGUGACAAUAGAACUUUGGUUCUACAUAAAGGAUCUGCAAAAGAAAUAACAAUUAAUACAACACAAGUAAGAUGUACAUAUAUAGAUUAGUAGAGGAUACAGCCUAGAAUAUGCACAAAAAGGGUCUUGCUUCUACAUCAUCCAUUUCUUCUCUUAUUCCUUCCUUCCUUCCUCCUCCUUCUUCCUUCCACAAAAAUGGAGGGGGCUCAAGGGGGCCGGGCUCCAUUGUGCGGGAAGCGAGGAGGGAGAAGCUUGAGCCCCAUCAUCGCUGUGGACCUGCACCACCUGAGACAAACUUCUCUGAGAGCUGGAAAACACUAUGUUUUUUAGAAAGUUAUUAGGUACUAGGAGGUGCUCUAAAAAAAUAAUUUAUUCAUUUAUAACUAGAAAUUUGUCGCGCGUCAAAUAAUUAGAUAUUCAGAGAACAACAUCAUACAAGAUAUCGUGACAAACUUCAUAAAUAAGACUAGAUUAUUGGCCGUUUGGCCUUUGAAGUUUGGAUCACCCAUUUUAACGUAGAGGCACUUAUAUAUUGCUAGUAAACGGAAGGAGAGAGAGAUUUACACGACUCAUGACGACGUAGACUUGUUCCAAAAAAAAGAACGACGUAGACAUGUGAUGGUGGUGCGCACGUCGGUUGGGAACGCCAGGCACGGACCCAUGCAGUUGGGUUCUGCGUUAGAUCCUGAAACUUGAAUUAAAUUCUACAUCAAUCCACUUCAAUACAUGUAGAUUGAGUUGAAUACAACAACAUCCAAAUAAAGCCUUAAAUUUUGAUUGAGUUGAAUACAACAACAUCCAAAUAAGGUCUUAAAUUUUUGGCACGACACGCACGGCGGGCCAGGGUGCCCUCGUUGUCCGCCGGUUACAUGGCGCAGAGGCGCCGCCGCAUUUUGCACAUUUUUUUGAGCUGGUAUCGAUAUCAUACUCGUUUUGGGACACGGCGGAUAGCGAUAAUGACAUGAGCACGCGGCUCACAUGUGUGUGCCAAACUAUUAUUAUUUGCCGCUCCGCCGGGUGCUCACGUCGUUUCACUCCGCCGUGAUACGACUCGAUCGGCUGCGCGUCACCACAUGGAUCUGUGCGAGCAAUCAGGCUGAGUCCGUUCAGUUAUAGCGACCACCUUUCCAAUCAGAGUCCCAGGUGUCCGACCAACGUUAGAAAGGCGUUGGAAGCUUCGUUUCAGUCAUCACUCGCUAAACAGGCAGCAGCACGACUGAGGACUGAGCUAUAUAUAUAUAGCAGACCCUCUGGGUGUUUGUUCCAUCAAAUUCAAGACUCCCAAGAUCCAUCCAUCCAACAAUCAUCUCAAGCCACACAAUCUCUCGAUCAGAAAUGGAAGGCCAGAACACUUGCGAAGCAGCAGUGUUGCCGGUGAGCACGCUCAGCGAGCCUCUCCUCGUGGGGAAAGCCGCUGACCUGGCCACCGCCGGCGACGACCUCGAGGCGCAGCUCACCUCGUACCGCGCCACCGGCGGCGCGUCCUUCUCCAGGACGUGCCUCAACCUCACCAACGCCGUCUCGGGGAUCGGGGUGCUGUCCAUGCCGUACGCGGUGGCGCAGGGCGGGUGGCUCAGCCUGCUGCUCUUCGCCCUCGUCGGCGCCGUCUGCUACUACACCGGCACACUCAUCGAGCGCUGCAUGCGCGCCGACCCUGGCGCCAUCGCCAGCUACCCGGACAUCGGCAAGUUCGCCUUCGGCGCCGCCGGCCGGAGGGCCAUCGCCUUCUUCAUGUACGUGGAGCUCUACCUCGUGGCCAUCAGCUUCCUCGUCCUCGAGGGCGACAACCUCGACAAGCUCUUCCCGGGCUCCAGCGUCCACCUCAUGGGCAUGGGCGGCGGCUACAGGCUGCAGGGGAAGCAGCUGUUCAUCGCUCUGGCCGCCGCCGUCGUGCUGCCCACCACAUGGCUCAAGAACCUUGGCGUGCUCGCCUACGUCUCGGCGGUCGGGCUCGUCGCGUCGGCGGUCCUGACGGCGUCGCUGGUCUGGGCCGGCGUGGCCGAGACCGGCGGGUUCCGCAGGAACAGCACCAGCGUCCUCAACCUCGGCGGCCUGCCGACAUCGCUGGGCCUCUACUUCGUCUGCUUCACCGGCCACGCCGUGUUCCCCACGAUCUACUCCUCCAUGAAGAACAACAGGCGCUUCUCCAAGGUGCUGCUCAUCUCGUCGGUGCUGUGCAGCGUCAACUACGGGCUGACAGCGGUCCUGGGCUACAUGAUCUACGGCGACGACGUGCAGUCGCAGGUCACGCUGAACCUGCCGUCGGGAAAGCUCUAUACCAAGGUCGCCAUCGUGACGACACUGAUCAACCCGCUGGCCAAGUACGCGCUGCUGGUCGCGCCGAUAACGGCGGCGAUCGAGGAGAGGUUCUCCCUUCCUGCUGGGAGCACGCCGGCGAGGGUGUCCAUCAGCACCGUGGUGGUCGUCAGCACGGCGGUGGUGGCCUCCACGGUGCCAUUCUUCGGCUACCUCAUGUCGUUCAUCGGCUCGUUCCUGAGCGUCAUGGCGACAGUCAUAUUUCCCUGCCUCUGCUUCCUCAAGAUCUACAGAGCCGAGGGGAUCCGUCGUGCCGAGGUCACGGCGAUCGUCGGAAUCCUGAUGAUGGGCGUGUUCGUAGCCGUCACGGGCACCUACACUUCUCUGCAGCAAAUUAUAAGCGCUUUCUAAGGAUUUAUAGUUAUAGCUAGUGCUCUGCUCUCACAAAGACUUCAUUGACGUAAAGUGCUCCAAGAAACGGAGCGUGCAAAUUUUUCAACAACUUGUACUAAGUACUAACCUUGAAUUGAUUAUGGAAUUAAUUAAUACUCCCACCGCCGUGAAAUAUUCUGUAUAGAUACUCCCUUCGUGUAGAGUUUAGAAAUUAUUUAGGACAAUGACACGGUGAACAAAACACAGCUUUGACCUCUUACUUUUAUAAAAAUAUUUAGAAAAAAUCACUACUACAGAAUGAGGCAUUGGUCGAUGCUCAAAAUGGCCAAAAACCUCGGCCUUUUUGCCGCCCGGGGUUAAAGACCCCUUUAACACCGGUUCGUAACACGAACCGGUGCUAAAGGGUCCUGCCCAACGGCUACUGACAGGUGCGGGCAGAGACCCUUUAGCACCGGUUCGUAUUACAAACCGGUGCUAAAGGGGUCCCUUUAGCACGGCCAGAGCAACGGACCGAGGCAAACCCUUUAGCACCGGUUUUUUUUACAAACCGGUGCUAAAGGGUAACCCUUUAGCACCGGUUUUUGCCCUGAACCGGUGCUAAAGUUCCGGUUUAUAGGCCGGCUCCCUCCUCCCCUCUGCCCAUUUGAAACCGAGAGCACCAUUGUUGUUCUUGGAGCUUCUUCUUGCUUGUUCUUCAUCUCCAACGCCCAUCGUUGAUCUUCUUCGACUCCGUCAUCGUCUCUUCGUGCUUGGAGGUAACUAACUUUUGUCUUUCUUGUCUUUUCAUGUUGUUUUUGACUUGUGAUGUUCGCAUUAUUUUUAGCUCAAAUCCACGUUGUUAUUUUGAAUCAUUCACAUGAAUUAGUAUCCAUAUAUAUAUAUAUAUAUAUCGUAUUUCAUGGUUGACCUAGUAUUAAUGUAGUUUGCAAGAAUGAAUUAUAGUAUAUUUUUAUGAUCUUAGAAAGUAGGAUAGUUCAAAUUAAUUGGUUUGUUAAUAUCACUUGAUUUAUUUCUAUUACUACAUAUAAUGUUCAUUGUAUCGUACAUGUUUACUAGUAAAUGUGGAAUUUAUAAUUGUUUAAAAAUUGAGUAUGGAUAGUAGAUGGCAACCGUGACCGGGUCUUCGGUCUCUCAACGGGUUCAAAAGCGAUACCGUCCGGAACUCCCUCUCAUUACUUGUGGCAAGUGUGGGCAGAAGAUUUUGAUGGAGUACAAAGUGUCGAAAGAGGGAGUAAACAAGGGUCGUAUAUUCUACAAGUGUCCAGAUCGUAAUGUGAGUUAUUUCCAGACAUUUGCUUAUAUAUGUGCAUAUUUUCUUAAAUGAUAUUAAUUAAACUUUUGAUUCUCUCUUUUAAUUUCAGUGGGACGGUACCGGCGGAUGUACAGGUUGGUACUGGGAGGAAGAAUACAUUGAACACAUUAAGAAAUCUUUUGCACAGGUGGUUGAGGCUGAAGGUGGUGAGGCAGUGAGCCGACGAAAGGAGUUCAAUGAUGUUGAUCAAGCGAAUGAUCUAUCUAUUAUAGUUGGGAUUGGACGCGAACUAAUUAUGUUGCUUAAGUGCAUUUUAGUUUUGGUUUUUUUAGUGCUAGUUGCGAUUGUAUUUGUUGUAGCCAAGCUUUCCUGAAUUAAUCAACUAUGUAUCUUAGACAUGUUGUGCAAUAAGAUGAGAAACUAUGUGUGUGCAUUUUUUUCAUAAUAUAUAUGUUAUAUUUAAUGCAGAUGGUAACACGUAAUUGGAUGUAUAAUGCCGAUCGGCGCUCCGAAGAGUUCAUUAAUGACGUGCACUAUUUCUUAAGUGUGGCCGAGUCAAAUAAGAGGGACGGUUUCACGUGCUGUCCAUGUGCCGUGUGCAAGAAUUUGAUGGAAUAUUCUAACUCAAGAACUCUUCAUUCACACUUAUUAAAGUCAGGUUUCGUACCAAACUACAUUUGUUGGACCAAACAUGGAGAAAGCGGGAUUAUAAUGGAUGAAGGUGAAGAAGAAGAAGAAGAAUUGGACCAUGCCAAUAUUAUUGCUCAGUACGGUGGCUUCAAUGAUGUUGCAAUGGGGGGAGAUAAUGAAGAAGAGGUGGCGGCAGAAGAUGAUCGGGGCGAUGAUGCUUUUGGUGAUGCCAUCCGUGAUGCACAAAGAGAAUGUGAAAGUGAUAAAGAGAAAGCCAAGUUCGAGCGCAUGCUAGAGGACCAUAGGAAAUCGCUAUAUCCCACCGCUGAAGAGGGGCAAAAAAAACUGGGUACCACACUAGAAUUGCUGCAAUAGAAGGCAAAGAAUGGUACAUCUGACAAGGCAUUUGGGCAGUUAUUGAAGAUCAUAAAAAAGAUGCUUCCGAAAGACAACGAAUUGCCCACCACUACGUAUGAAGCAAAACAGGUUGUCUGUCCUUUGGGAUUAGAAAUCCAGAAGAUACACGCAUGUCCUAAUGACUGCAUACUCUACCGUGGGGAGGAAUACGAGAAUUUGGAUGCAUGUCCAGUAUGUAAGGCAUCACGGUAUAAGAUUAGACAAGAUGAUCCUGGCGAUGUUGAGGAUGAAGAACGUCAUAGGAAGAAAAUUCCAGCCAAGGUUAUGUGGUAUGCUCCUAUAAUACCACGAUUAAAACGUCUGUUCAGAAAUAAGGACAAUGCAAAGUUGUUGCGGUGGCAUAAAGAAGACCGUAAGAUAGACAAUAUGCUGAGACACCCUGCCGAUGGAUCCCAGUGGAGAGCGAUAGACAGAUAAUUCCCAGAUUUUGCAGAUGAUGCUAGAAACUUGCGGUUCGCCUUAAGUACAGAUGGUAUGAAUCCUUUCGGUGAGCAGAGCAGUAGUCACAGCACUUGGCCAGUUACUCUAUGUAUCUACAACCUUCCUCCAUGGCUAUGCAUGAAGCGGAAGUUUAUUAUGAUGCCGGUGCUUAUCCAAGGACCGAAGCAACCUGGCAAUGACAUAGAUGUCUACCUAAGGCCAUUAGUUGAGGAACUUCAACUUUUAAUGGAGCAAACGAGGAGUUCGCGUGUGGGAUGAGUACAAACUAGAGCACUUUGACCUGCGAGCAUUGUUGUUUGUAACAAUCAAUGAUUGGCCAGCUCUGAGUAAUCUUUCAGGCCAGUCAAACAAGGGAUAUAAUGCAUGCACACAUUGUUAUGAAGACCUUGACUGUGUAUUUUUGAAAAAAUGUCGAAAGGUCGUGUACCUUGGCCACCGUCGGUUUCUUCCUGUGAACCACCCAGUACGAAAGAAAGGCAAGCAUUUUAAAGGCAAGGCAGAUCACCGGACCAAACCUCUCAAUCGAACCGGGGAUGAUGUACUCGAAAUGGUCAAGGAUAUAAAAGUGGUAUUUGGAAAGGGACGAGGCAGCGAACCUAUUCCCAAGGAUGCUAAGGGACACGUACCCAUGUGGAAGAAGAAAUCCAUAUUUUGGGAGCUACCUUACUGGAAUGUCCUAGAGGUCCGCAACGCGAUCGACGUGAUGCACCUGACAAAGAAUCUUUGUGUGAACUUGCUCAGAUUCAUGGGUGUCUACGGGAAGUCUAAGGAUUCACUUGAAGCACGACAAGACUUGUAGCGCAUGAAAGAACGAGACAACCUGCAUCCAGAAAAGACAGAUGAUGGACGUCAUUACUUAAGCCCUGCUAGCUACACUCUGAGCAAAGAAGAGAAGGAAAGCAUGUUUGAAUGUCUUAGCAGCAUCAAGGUCCCAUCUGGAUUCUUCUCCAAUAUCAAGGGAAUAAUUAAUGUGCCAGAGAAGAAAUUCCUGAACUUGAAGUCCCAUGACUGUCACGUUCUAAUGACGCAAUUGCUGCCGGUCGUUUUAAGAGGAAUUCUACCUCCACACGUACGUCUAGCCACCGUAAAGCUAUGUGCAUUCCUCAAUGCAAUUUCUCAGAAGGCAAUCAAUCCAGAGCAACUAGCUACUCUGCAAAAUGAUGUCGUUCAAUGUCUCGUCAGCUUUGAGUUGGUGUUCCCUCCAUCCUUCUUCGAUAUCAUGACACACCUCCUAGUUCAUCUGGUCAAAGAGAUUCGUAUUCUCGGUCCUAUGUUCCUACACAACAUGUUCCCCUUCGAGAGAUUCAUGGGUGUCCUAAAGAAAUAUGUCCAUAGUCGUUCCCGGCCAGAAGGAAGCAUUGCCAAGGGCUACGGAACAGAGGAGGUCAUAGAGUUCUGUGUUGACUUUAUUCCAGACCUUGACCCAAUUGGCAUUCCUGAAUCUCGACACGAGGGCAGACUCAGCGGAAAGGGAACACUUGGGAAGAAAACAUAUAUUGGUACGGGAAACGAUUACUUCAAUAAAGCACACUACACAGUUCUCUAGAAUUCCUCAUUGGUGGAACCAUAUGUUGAGGUACACAAAGAUUUCCUACGGUCCCAGUGGCCCGGGAAGAAUGAAGCUUGGAUAAUGCGUCAGCACAUGGAAACUUUUGGCGAUUGGUUGCGCAAAAAAUGUCAAGGUGAUGAAAACAUUGAUGAGCAACUUUAUUUGUUGGCCAGGCAACCAUCAUGGCAUGUCCUCACAUACAAAGGGUACGAGAUAAAUGGUAACACAUUUUACACAGUUGGCCAAGAUAAAAGGAGCACCAACCAAAAUAGUGGUGUACACGUGGAUGCCACGGAUCCAAAUGGGAACAGACAAACAUAUUAUGGACGCAUAGAAGACAUAUGGGAACUAGUCUAUGCAGCUAAUUUUAAAGUUCCUUUGUUCCGGUGCCAAUGGGUGAAGAUGAUUGGAGGUGGGGUAACAGUCGACAACGAGUAUGGGAUGACAACCAUGGACCUUAACAAUAGUGGGUUCAAAGACGAACCAUUCGUCCUUGCUGCAGACGUGAGUCAGGUGUUCUAUGUCAAAGAUAUGUCUAUGAAACCAAAGAGAGGAAAAAAUGAUGACCACUCAAUCAUCAAUGAGCCAAAGCGCCACAUUGUCCUUUCUGGGAAAAGAAACAUUGUCGGAAUUGAGGACAAGUCAGACAUGUCAGGCGAUUACGAAAGGGAUGAUCGAAUUUCGCCCUUCAUAGUCAACAAAGACCCAAGCAUUCUGUUAAACAAUGAGGAUACUCCAUGGUUACGGCAGGAUCAUAACCAAGGCUCAUACGUCAAGAAGAAGUUCACUGUUGUGUCGGCUUGACUUUGUAUGAAACUAUAUUUGAGAAUUGUGAAUUUUGAUGUGUGUAACAAACUUUGUAUUCAUGACUUUGUAUUCAAGACCAUCUAGGGUUCCGAAACCGCUGCGUGGCUAUGAGUUCUAUGAAAAUUCAAAAUUCAGUGGUUCAAACUUUUCCAAAUGAAAAGUUGACCAUUAGACAAAAUGUAGAACUUGAUAAGUGUAGCAAACUUUGUAUUCAUGACUUUUCCAUUAGGGACAAUCUAGGGUUCGGUCAAAGGGUGUUUUUGUAAAAACCAAUGCUUUGACUUUGGUCAAACUAGAUCAAAUGACCCAUUUGAUGACUUCAAAUGAAACAAUUUUGAAUAUAAAGUUGUUAGAGAUCAUUAAGAUCUACAUUUUAUAUAUUGUUCAUUUUUUCAUUUGGAUAUGUUUGAGCCAAUCCUAAGCACAUUUCUUUAAAAUCCAAGACGGGUUUUGGUCAAACUUGGUCAAAUGACAAACUAAAUUACUUAAAAUGAAAAACUUUUGAAUACCAAGUUGUUAGAUAUCAUCAAGAUCUAAACUUUUUAUAUACACAACUUUUCCAUUUGAGAAAGUUUAAGUUAACAAUAGCCACCAAAUCUUGAAUCUCGCACAAACUAUAUGAAACUAUAUGUGUCAAUUGUGGAUUUUCAACUACACCUUCCCAAAACUUUCUCAAAUGCAAAAAUGGUAUAUAUAUGAAAUGUAGAUUUUGAUGAGUGGAACAAUUUUGGUAUUCAUGACUUUUCCAUUCGAGACCAUCUAGGGUUCCGAAACCGCUGCGUGGCUAUGAAUUCUCUGAAAAUUCAAAAUUCAGUGGUUCAAACUUUUCCAAAUGAAAAGUUGACCAUUAGACAAAAUGUACAACUUGAUGAGUGUAACAAACUUUGUAUUCAUGACUUUUCCAUUUGGGACCAUCUAGGGUUUGGUCAAAGGGUGUGUUCAUCAAGAUAUAUUUUUUUAUAUGAUAAAUAGAUUUUUUAUUUGAUUUAAACUAUACCCUACUACCAUUCCAAGUAAUAAAUAACAAAAAUAAAAAGUUUAAUGUCAAUAUGAUGUGAAAAUAGAUUUCCAGUUGAUUGGAUAAAUUUUUUGUAAAUUUAUUAGAAUAAUAUAUUUUUGCAUUAACAAAAUACUAAACAUUUCUUGCAAAAUCAUUGCAAAUUAUAAAUAUACAGCAAGAUAUUUAAGGUUAAAAAUUUUCAUGUGUACAUUAAAAAAAUUACAAUAUAUGUCACUGUUUGAAAAAUAUUAUGCAAAAUAUUUAAUUUACUAUACAAUUUAUAAUAUAAACUGUAUAUAUAAACACUUUAAAAUGACCUAAAGUAAAAAACAGGGCCUUUAGCACCGGCCCAUAGUGGGAACCGGUGCUAAAGGGUCCUGAAAAUUUUCAGGACCCCGCCCGAGCCCGUCUAGGACCCUUUAGCACCGGUCCGUGGCUGGAACCGGUGCUAAAGUGUCCGCCCCUAUUUAAGUCAUGGGCGCCCUGGAUCUGAGCAGUUCAUCUUCGUCUUCUUCGAGUUCAUCGUAUCCAGCGCCGCCGCCCGUUCAUCUGCCCGCGCGCGACCUCGCCGAUCUCCAGCGCCACCGUCUCCAGCGCCGCCGCGGCCAGCUCCGGCCCCCAGCGCUGCCGCCGCGACCACCAUCUCCACCAGUGCCGCCAUCUACGCCUCUCCACGCCCGGCCCCGCGCGUCACACGCCAUGUAUAAUCCAAAACCGAGAUCGAUAUAUACAUAUAUAUAUAUAUAAUAAAUACUCCACUGCAGUUUAUAUAUAUAAAAUAAAUAAAUGUUAUGAAUUAUAUGCCAAUCACUUUGCAAUUUUAGUGAUUUCUAUAUAUUUUUACACAAAAAUAAUAAUUAAUGAAUGCUAGCUAGUAUAUAUAUUAAGUAUAUAUAUACACUAAAAAAUAAUGCAUGAUGUUAGUAUAUUAUUCUAGUAAUAGUUUUUAGUACAUUAGUAUAAGUGUAGUGUUGACCUGUUAUAAAUUAUAUUAUGCUAGUAUAUAUUUGUAAUAUAUUAAUAUUAUUCUUGUAUUAUUUUGUAGUAUUAUUUUUUUAGUAUAUUAUUUGUAGUAUUAUUUUUUAGUAUAUAUUUGUAGUAUAUUAUUCUUGUAUUAUUCUUGUAUUAUAUUUUAUUUUCUAGUGUUUUGUAUAUAUUAUUGUUUGUACUAUUAUUCUAGUAUUAUUCUUUUAGUAUAUUAUUCUAGUGUAUUACUAGGCUUAAGAUUCUAGUAUUAUUUUUGGAGAACUCCAGCACUUUCAUUUGUAGUAGUACUAGUAGUAUAUAAGUCUCUAAUAUCUAUUUUAUUUUCUAGUGUUUUGUAUAUAUUAUUGUUUGUACUAUUAUUCUAGUAUUAUUCUUUUAGUAUAUUAUUCUAGUGUAUUACUAGGCUUAAGAUUCUAGUAUUAUUUUUGGAGAACUCCAGCACUUUCAUUUGUAGUAGUACUAGUAGUAUAUAAGUCUCUAAUAUCUAUUUUAUUUUCUAGUGUUUUGUAUAUAUUAUUGUUUGUACUAUUAUUCUAGUAUUAUUCUUUUAGUAUAUUAUUCUAGUGUAUUAUAUGGAAGUCUCUAAUAUAUAUGUAUGGUUGCAGACAUAGAAGUGGCUGACCGUCCUCAUGAUGAUCCUGAUUAUAUGGAAGAUGCCAUUCAAAAUAUGAUCGACGACGGUAGUCAGUGCUUUGUUGAUUACCACGAGAUCAUGCAAGGCAAUCGUACUGAGCAACAAGAGGGCAAUGCCCCUGAGCAACAACUUGUCGUGCAACAAGAAGAAAAUACUAGCGAGGUAUGUAAAUGUAAACAUAUAUAAUUAAUGCAUCUCUUACAUUAGGUUUUAGACUUAUUACUUGGUUAUUAAUUUUAUAUUUUUGUUUCUAUAUCUACGUGUAGCCUUCUGGAUCGACCUCUACAGGGAGAAGCGUACCUCCACGAGGGUCAAAGAAGCCGUUGGAGGGCCGCUAUGUAAUCUCUGAGUUUGAGAUAGCUACAGGCAGACCACUUGGUGAGUAUGCCAAUAAAUAUGUUAGUCACUGUGGAUAUCUUGUGAGAGAUCAAAUACCGAUCAGUGCUCGUGAAUGGAGAGAGAAGAGAGGUGCUCCUGAGAUCAGUUUUGUCUCUGAUCGUGACAAGGAGUUAGUUUGGAAAGCCGUCACAGACGUUUUCACCUUCGACACCAACGAUGAAGAGUUGAAGGUGAGAAUUUAUGACUGGACUAUGAAGAAGAUGGCAGUACUCUUCCAGAAUUGGAAGAAGUCUUUGUACAAUAAAUAUGUCAAGAAAAACGAGACUCCAAUUUCAACCUCAAGCAAUAUGUAAAGCUGAGGGCCUUCUGGGAUGACUUUGUGCAGUACAAAACAUCAGAAGAGGGCGAGGAACGAGCCAAUACAAACAAAGAGAAUGCCAGUAAAAAGACAUACCACCAUCAUAUGGGAUCAGAUGGUUAUAAGAGUGUUGUUCCCAAGUGGGACCGAAUGGAACAGGAGAUGCUUGCUAAGGGGUCACACCCGAGACAAUAGCAAAGAAUUGGAGCGAGCGCUCCAAGCAUUGGUUCUACGGUCAUGGGGGAAGCGUGGACCCAGACACCGGGGCGCUAGUUUGGGGCCAAGAAAUCUCUAGAGCAGCAGAGAGACUAGUCCGUGCACGAGAGGCGGUUCAGUCUGGUGAGUUCAGUCCUAACAGGGAGAAGGAUGAACUCACCUAUGCGCUUGAAAAUCCUGAGCACGGUGGGCGUACGAGAGGCUAUGGGGCAGUUCCGUGGCUGCAAUCAUUCCAAGCCGAUCAAGAUACCUAUAGAAGCCGCCAGAGAAAGAAGGAUGAGGAGGCAGAGCGGAUCCGCAGCCUGGAAGCUUUUGUUCUGCAGUCACAAGAGCGCGAGAAAGCUUGUGAAGAAUGGAUGCAGGCAGAGAUUCAAAGGCAAGUGCAAGCAGCACUUAGUCAAAUGACGAAAGGGCAAGGUACAUCACAGCCUGAGGUCAAUGUUAGCCCCCCAGGCCAGUUGAAAAGUAGCUGCGUAUCCACGGAAGUACCAACCAUUCAGGAUGACACGAAGCUACACUUCCCCGUGGAUGAUGUCACAGAGGCUUUUACUACCUGUGAGCUGCAUGUACCAGAUGGGAAUGCAACCAAAAAGGUGGCUAUCGCUGUUGUCAACCCUAUCGACCGAACGAGAACUCCAAGAAUCCAUAAUCGACCAGUACCUGGUGGAUAUGCUAGUGUCUCGGUUGAUAGGGUUGAGAAAGGUUGUGGCAAUGUGCCACUAGACAUAGAAGGGGGAGACGGAGAGAAGACCUUAGGUGAAGCUGAGAAGACAUUUAUUUGUUGGCGCAAGCGCUUCAUAAUUAUUCCUCAGCAUAGGUUUGUGUGUGAUUUUACUUCUUAUAUUAUUUAUUAUGUAUUGAAAUUAAAAAAAGUUUGCUCACAAAACUUGUAAUUGUUUUCUUUGCAGGGACUCCUCCAACCUAAGUCCAGUUCUCUCCCCAGCGCAUCAUAGUGCUGCAGGCGGUGACAAUGCUGGAUCUCCUCCAACACCUGCGGUGGCCACACCAACCCCGCCACCGCCUCCACCACGGUCUCCACCUCCUCCACCGAGGUCUCCAACUCCUCCACCGCGUUCUCCAACGCCAAAAAGAUCGGCCCCACCACCUCCACCGCCUGCACCGCCCUCUCCAAAGAGUGCACGGUCGGUCCCCUCGCCUCCAAAGCGAGGUAGUAAGAAGCGGUCCGCUCAAGAAGGACCGAAGUCAUCGGUCCCACCUCCAAAGAAGGCUGCCUCAGCAAAGAGAGCUAAGACGCCAGAAAAAUUACCUUACGAAAAGAGUGAAGAGGAGGUAAUUGCUAUAUCCAAAGCUGAGGUCCAACAAUUUUUUGAUAAAAUAAAGGAGGAUAGGAAAAAACAGCUUAACCCAGAAAAAUCCAUAUUUUUAUGUGAAGCCAUCGGAACUGAGGCAGAAGGUGGCGGACCAUCAAAAGAAGCUACGCGAAGCUCAGAAAAAGCCAGCACUUUCGGACUAUAAGCGGUCUCUGGUCAAGUCUUCACAGCCUACUAAGAAGAGAGUAGGAAAGGGGGUCCCACAGCUCGGAGAAGUAUCAAAACCGGUGCCCCCUUUGAUUGUGCCAAAUCAAUACGGCUCAAAUAAAGACUUGAUGCCAAAGAAAUCCUUAGCGUUGUCUGAGCUAGACUCGCUUGAGCGUUACUUUGGACAGAGCGGUUUAAAUAUGGAAGAAAUUGCCGCCAUUCUUGGAUGUCAAACAUUUGAAAAAGCUGAGGUAGUUGAUCAAUGGAGGGCAAGAUAUGAACCGGGCAGGAGUCUAUUCGACCCUAAGCGUUUACACGAGCUCGGCACACAAAUGUUUGCAAUAAACAAAUGGUGCAUUGAGGCGUCUAAAAGGGGAGAGAAUUGGAUUUCUGUUCGUAUUUGACAACAUCACUACUUCCGUGGAGAUGACCUCAUAUACGUGCAGUUCGAAGAAGUGCACCAAUUAUGCCACCUCGACGCUCUUAACAAAUCUCUUGUCAGCUGCUUUUGUCUGUAAGUAUUUUUUUCUUUUUAUUAUACUUCUAACUUCUUUAAUUACAUGUAUAUAAUCCUUACACACUUAGGAUUUGUAUGUAUAUAUGCAGGCACCAAAUGAGAGAGCUCAGAACGAGAAAUGACAAUAGUAUUGGGUUCGUUGACCCUUACAUUGUUUUCAAGGCUCCGCAGGCAGUGUGGACAGCAGAUCAUGAGACAGAAGUCUGCACCAAUCUUAUGAGGUUCUUUGUGAACCAAAAAGAAAAACAAAAAAUACUCUUCUCCUUCAACUUCGAGUGAGUUAUAUAGUUAUUAAGUGCAUGCAUAUUUUAUUUUACAUUAUAGGACUGACUAUAUAUAUGUGUGUGUAAACAGCUUUCACUGGAUACUCAUGGUCAUUGAAAUUCCCAAGAACCGGUUGAUAAUCUUUGACUCAAUGAGAAAACCACAAGAAAAUUAUCAACAAAUGGUAAACAUUAUUCAAAGGUACGUAAUGUCGAUCUCAGCUACAAAAAUAUCAUAAUAUGACUCUGUAAUUAUUAGUUCACGAUCCACAAUGGCUGUGUAUAGGGUUUGGAAAAGAUUCAUUAACCGUGAACAUCUCAGUGGAUGUAAAGCGCUGCUUAACAUAAUACAUCCACAAGUAAGUUCUACUAGCUAACAAACUUUCGCUAACUUUUAGCCUUCUUAUUGUCGUGGUCGUGAAUAUUUUUAUAUAUAUCGUACAGUGGUGUUUAAGACAAGAAGGGGGGAACAAUCUAUGUGCAUAUUACGUGUGCAAAUUCAUGAUGGCACAAGUCAAUCAAACACCCACAGAGACGCUCAGAGUACGUUACAUGUCUCUUUUCAUUAUCUCCUGAAUUAUAUUGAAUAACUUAGAUAACUAAUACCUUUUUUAUUUAUUUCAAAUUAAAGACGGAAUGGCUGAGGGAAAAGGUCCUACAACAAGACCGAAUCAAAGCUAUCCAAGAGACGAUAGCAGGAUUUCUCCGCGACCAAGUGAUCAAUCCAAACGGCGAGUUUCACUUCAACGACAACGAAACUCUUAUUCCAAACAACGAUGAUCAUUUGUAUCUUUUGUAGACAUUGGGAGAAAAAACUCUAUGUAUAUAUGUGUUACGAAUUUUGUACAUAUAAAACUAUAUAUAUAAAAAGCUUUUUACAUAUCUAUUUAAUUUUUGAUGUGGUCUAUUCUUUUUAUUAUAGGCAAAGCUUAAUUAUUAAGCUAAGCUUAUAAUUUUUAUUUAUAUAUGCUUAAUAUGUGUGUAAUAUAAAUAUAUUAUUGUAUCAGCAAAACAUGUAUUGAAAAACAUAUUAUUAUAUAUUAUAUAUAAACAAUAAACAGAAUCGAAGAAGUAAACCAAAAAAAGAAAAAGAAACCCUUUAACACCUGCAACGUGGCAGCCCUGGCAGGACCCUUUAACACCGGUUGGUAUUACCAACCGGUGUUAAAGGGGGGGCUUUAGCCCCGGUUACCCGAACCAGGACUAAAGGGUGGGCCUUUAGUCCCGGAAGGGCAGCACCGGCUCGGGAACCGGGGCAACAGGCCCUUCCCGACCGGUGCUAAUGCCCGAUCAUGCAGCAGUGAAUAAUAUAUCUUGUAACAUCCCGGAUUUUUACAAAAACCAAAAAUACGAACUUUUUAAAAUUUUUCCUGUAAUCGUGUGAAUCAUAUAGUAUUUAGGUCAAACUCGAUCCUAACCCGCUAACAAAUCGUGGCAUACAUAUAGAUUUGUUUGUAGACGGGUCGUCUUAAGUUGGAUCUUGUUAGGGUUUUGAGUUUCUUUUGGAGUGCACAAAUCCGUAGCAAAGCCUUCCCGAAUUUUCGUUGAGCCUAUCUCAAAGGCGAAGCGGAUCCCUUCUCAACCUUUUCGUUGGAGUACGUCUCAAACUCCUUUUGAUCCUUUUGAACUCUCCCUGAAAUUCCCUUCUCUCUCUCUUUGAUCUUAUCUAAAUCUCCUCCGCAAAAUCUAUCUUAAAUUCAUGGUAACUCAUCUCAAUCUCUUGUUGAGUUCUCUCUCGAAUGCCCCUCAUUUUUUUUUUCCUUUUAAAAUUUCUCUCAAAGCCCUUGAGUCAAAUUCGUAAAUGGAAGAUCCAUCUCCUUUCAUGGGCCAAUUCUUUCCUCCUCUUCCUCCCUCCCUCGGCCCAGCCUGGGCACCCUUCCCCCCUGUCCGGCCCAACUCGCGCGCGCCAAGGCCCAGUCUGCCCCUUACCCCCCAGCCAGGUCGGCCCACCUCGUUCCCCCUGUCUCCCCUCCGAGGCCCAGCUCUUUCCUUGGCCCAUCCAGUGCCGCGCUGGCCCAUUCGCUUCUCCCUGCUCUGGCCCAAGUCGUGGCCGGCCCAGCAGCCAGCGCCCCAGCCCCAACCCUAGCAGGGAGCUGGACACCUGAGCCCCAGAGCCGCCGCCGCCGUCGCCCAAGGCAGAGCCGCGCCAGCGCUCGCGCCUGCCACGGCUUCCGUGCGACCCCGCAUCCACCGCCGCGUGUCCCGCUGCGGACACGGACGCCGAGGAUGGCCGCAGCGUCCCUGGAGCCCUAGCGCCCGCGCUAUAAAAGCGGCAGCAGCCGCUCGCCCUUCUUCUACCCGCCGCCGCCGCCAUAGCCGACUCGAAGCUCCGCACCCUCACCAAGCGCCUCGACCCCGACCUCGCCCCGCGCACCUGCACCACCGAGCUCGGUCACGCCGUGACGCCGUCGAUCGCCACCACGAUGUCGCCCGCAACUGCGUCGCCCGAGCGUCUCGUCCUCGGCACCACCUCGGCACUCGCACCGCGCCCUCGCCGAGCAGCAGCAGAGCCGCGGCCAUGGCCUCGCCCUGCCGACGCCGCCAAGCACCACUGCGCCCGCCUCGGCCGUGCCCCUACCUCUGUGUCAAGCUUCAUCACCACGCGGGGGUCAGCCGCGGUGCCGUCCUCGCUGCGCAGCGGCCUCGCCCGGCGACGUCGAGCCCGCUGCCCUCGCCGCGUCGAGCUUCGACCACGGCCGGCCGCGUGGACGCCACAGCCCGGCCGAGCCUCUGCCUCGCCACCGUGGGAGUCGCCGCGGCCACGACGCCUUCAGCCCCGGCGCCCCUCCGCGUCUACGACGGUGUCGACCGCGAGCCCCCGUGCUGUCAUGGAGCUUACCUCGUCGAGCCGACACGCCGUCGACAGAGCCACCGAUGCCGCGCGCCGGGCACCAGAGCAAGCCCCUUCGCCGAGCACCCGAUGCGCCCCGUUGCCGCGGCCACGCCAGGACAUCGCCAUGGUCACCGCGUCAGCGCCGGCCGUGGUGAUCGCGACCCCGACCACGACGCCGUGCUCAUCUUGCCACGGUGACCGCGAACUUCCCUUUUGCUGGCUGCCGAUCACCACUGAACGUGCAGCAGCGGCAGCACCACCCCGCGCGAAGCUCUUCUCUGCCGCCGGUGAGCCACCAGUGCCCAAGUGCCCUCCUUGCUAGCUUUCUGUUUUGCCUUGCUGAAACCGGCCUUUGUGCCGUGUUCUUCACUGUACAGGGAUGCUGCACCCAUGUCGUGCCACUUGCCGGAGCCGUUGGACUUAACAUCGCUGCUGUUGGAGCACCGAACCUCGAGGCGUUGCCGAACCCCAAGACUUCUCUUUCAGAUGCACCCCGGCCACUUGCAGCAAGCCGCGACCAAGCUGUAGAAGCCCUCUGCCAUCCUCGCCCGCAAGGUCGAACCUUGAACCUAGCCGACAUCGUCUCCGACGUUGGCAAAACCCUUGCCGUUCAUUUCGAUAUCAUACAUGCCAUGUAUCUUGCUCAUGUAUGCAUUAUGAUCUAUCUGCAUGACCAUUUGUUCAUCUAUCCAUGUCAUGCACUUGUUACAUGAUUAUUCAUCUCAUAUCUCGUUUAAUGCGCGAUCUAUCUUCGUCUAUAUCUCUGCCUGUGCCGUGCCUUCGUGCCGGUCUAUUUAUCUAUCUCUAUCUCUUUUGGUCGCUAUGGAAAUGUGCUACUCCGAGUCGUCGUCUUGUUAGUGUUGCAAUUUGUGCUUUUGUUCUUGUCGUUGUGGACCGUGCCGUCGAGCCGGUUGAGAGAGUGACGUGUUUGGAUGUUGCGAUCGCGAGUUCGUCUCGCCAUGGCCGUAAUGCCGAGCAUGUCCCUUCUCUCGUAUUUCUGUUGUUCCUUCUUUUGUUAUUUGCAUGCCUGAGGACCGAGCCUUCGAGCCGGUUAGGGAAAAUGGUGGAGCGUUCGAUCAUUUCGAUCGUGGGUUCGUCCCGCCGUGAUCGCGAUGCCGAGCGUAACUCAUUCCCUGUGAUUAGUUGUCUUCGCUGCGCUACGGUCGUUAGCUCCUAUUCCCGUCCCUCGAACGUGGUCAUCGUGGACUCGAUGUCGUUAACGACGCGGUUCUUACCCGCACACUCGAGACCUAAAUGACCUAGUCUAGUGGGAUACGAAUUAGGGGACAACCUUCGUAGAACUAUCGGAGAAACUCGUUAGGUGAAGCUCAUGGCCGCGAGUCCACCUUGCCAUGGCCAUUGGGCUUUACCCCAUUUCUCCCGUGUUUAUCCUAACCACCUCGUAUGCUUGUACCACUUCGACUAUAGCAUUCCCUCGGACCUAGCGGUGACAACCACAUCGCUAUGGGCCUUAGGAAUAGCCUUGUGCUGAUUUAGAUGCACAGUCAUGGUGCCCUACAAGUGGGUUGGGAUCGUGGGGUCGUAUUCCUUUUAUCCAACCGUCGUUGUUCCAUGAUGAGUUGGUCGAAAGAGUAUGGACUCCAUUCUUCUUCUCUCUUGUUCUCAAUCCCGUCGAUCCAGUAAGAUGGGGAUUAAGCCCCUUUUGCUUGUUUGAUGUUUUGUUUCCAAUCCCGCGAUUCCCGCCGUUGCUAUGGCGAGCGGAUCAAAGGAAGGUGAAUCCCGUGUCUUUUUCCGCCUUUUUGGUUCUUCGUGCUUAAACUCUUGUAUGCUUGUACCUAUAUCGAUCGUAGCAUUUCUUUGGUUCUUGUGGUGACAACCGCACCGCAAAGAACCUUAGUGAUGUCAUAGUGCAUUUAGUGCACCUAGGUUGUGGUACCCUACAAGUGGUUUGAGUACUCGUGUUCCUUAUGUGUCACUCUUUCUAAUCCCCCGUCUCUUACCAUGGCGAGUGGAUGGGAAGAAGUAGACCACUCCCCUUUUCUUCUUUCCUUGUUCCACCCUCUCUUGGCUCUCGCCAACUACAAUGGCGUAUGGAUUGAGAGAGACCGGAACUUCGCGUGCUCAUAGUCUUUUCGAUUCUUGUCGAUCUCCGUGAUGCUUGGAUCGAAGAGCCACUACCUAUGGUGUUUGCUUAUGAUAAGUUAGGGUCUAAGCCAAUUAUUAAAGUCGUACAGGUUGACUUAGUCGACCCAGGAAGUACCGGCUAGGCUAAGACUCCAGCUUGUACUUAGUGAACAACCAUUCCCAUUUCUUUUAGCCCAAAGAUCGGACAUCCGCCGAGAGGGCUAAGCCGUUUUCCUUUCGUUGCUCUUUUAGUGUAGUUGUUCCUCAGUGUUAUGUCGUCUCUUUUCGUAGUCUUUCGAGGUCUAGUGGUUUGAUUGUUUCGCCUUGUUUGUCGCUUUCGAGGUAGUCGCUUCGAGGUUAGCGUUGAUCGGACCAGGACCAGUUGAAGGAAGAACAUGUAGAAAGGAGGAUCUUGGAUGAGUACAACUACAAGUGAACUGAGGAUCUUGGAAAUGUCACUCGACAGGUGCCACGUCCCACCCAACCUCGUAGAAUCCUAUUAGACAUGCAAUAAUGUAGAUGCUAGUGCUUUACUUUUAUGCAAAUGAAUUGAGAUAGGUUGCAUGGUAGAAAUGCUUGUGAGCCAUUGCCUUGUUGCAACCUAUAACCCUCGCACACCCGCUGUUAGGUUAGACGCUUGCAUACUACUUGCUACUGCUUCUACUACGCAUUAUAUCUGUGAUGUGAUGCAUUGUGGAGGAUUGGAUGUGAGUGGAUAAGGCACGUGGUGCCGAUAACUGGAUAAGAAAUGGAUAAUGGACUUGGGGAGAUCUUGGCGUGUGUCUUGGGUGUGUGGUGAGGGUUGAGUCGACCGAGCAGGAUUUACGACGAGUCUUGGGACAAGUCUUGCCGGGGAAUGCUACCUGGGCGUUCUCCAUGAGAGAUACCUGUGGCGGGUACAUGUGACAGGGAGAGGUCCCGGAGUGGAGUGUCUUCGUGGGACGAAGCACCGGGAUGGGAGGUGCUGUAUAGCACGGGGUAGCCGGGUGUCCCGUCGAGAGGGGCAUCGGCUGGCCCCUCGUGAAGAUGUCCUGUUCGGUUACCCUAAGGACUGAGAUGUUCUGAGAACCGGUUCGUAGGAAGCCUUACACGCCACUCGCCUUAUUAUGGUGCGGGACGGAUGUACGACCAGCUAGUGCGGUGCCACUACUACUAGGUUGAUAGCGGAUAGUGUAGGGAGGUACGGGCAUGAGGACCCACACCCUCCUAAGACAGCGUAGUGACCUUUGGGGGCCCGGUACUACGCCUCACAGUCUCAGCAUGCCGGUGGUACUCCGGUAUGGCCCCAGUCCUGAGUGGUAGGGUGGCAUCGUAUUUAGUUGGAAGGCAGCCCGGUAUCAGCCUAGACGAGCCGGUUCGUCGAUGAUGGUGAUCUUGUGGUUAGUGUAAACCUCUGCAGAGUUUGGUUGAUCGAUCGAUACAUAUGCCGUCUUCUCGGCUAUGGACCUUUCCUAUGUUCCGCUUCGCUUGACUAGUGAGAGGAGUCCCUUCUAUCUUCCCCUGGGUUUGUGUUGGAUCCGGCGUUGGCCGUUGAGGCAAGGCACGAGCGGGAGUCGUACUUGCCGCCUAGAGAGUGAGAGUGUGGUGAGAUGUGUGUGAUGGGAUGGAUGGAUGGAUGUGUGGAUGAGAUGGAUUAAAACUUGAUGAAUUAUUAUUAUUAAAAUAUUGAUGAACUUGCAUAGAAAAAACUACAGCCAUAUAUAGGCCUCUUGAUCUACCCUUUUGCAUUCCACUUACCACAAAGCUUACGCAAAAGCAUAGGGUGGGAGCCAGUGGCCAGUACAAAUCGUACUGAAAAUUGUUUAGCAGGUUUUGAACGUGAUCUAUGACGAUAACUACGGAGAAUAGAAGGAUUAGGUGGUCUCGUUCCUGCGCUCAAGUUUGGUUCAGAGAUGAAGGCUGCGCCCGCUGAUAAACUACGCCGACUCUGAUGAUUGUCCGUGAAGGAGGAGCCUUCACCGCUGUCGCGCUACAUCGACUCUGAUAAAGACUCGCGUGUGUUUCCGCUAGAAAAACAAUGUAAUAAGCUUGUUAAUCAAGAGUUGUAAAGCAAAUGUGUUGUAAUCUUGUUUCUCACGAUGUAUGACUACGAUAACAGCUGAUAUAUGAUAAUGCGAUGGUUCAAUUUUUGAAUUAUCACAUUAUAAUUCGAAUCUGUGGAUUUUUCCCUUUGUGGAAAAAUCUGGGUCGUUUCAGUUGGUAUCAGAGCCAUACUUGACCCUAGGACGAGACCAUUAGGACCAAACACUAGUUUAGAAGCCAAACAUUCUAUCUUUUGUAGAGUUAUAGAUGCUAACACUUGUUUUCCCCCCUCCGCCUUGAAUUCUGUUGCUAACUGACCUCCCUGUUUCAUAAAGUUGACCGUUGGAAUCUUUUCCCAUACCCGCCCACGCUAGAUCGGUAGUCGUGUGAGACUUUGAAGGUCUGUGAGUCGCCUCAAGUCAACACUAUGCAUUAGGAGUUGUAAUGCUGAUUGAGUGCUUGGAUCUUAUGUUCUUGCGUUUCGUCUGCUUCUUGUUGUUUGAGUGUAUGUCAUAGAACUGUUUUAUGCGAGAAAAACUCUGGAUCCCGUCCAAUCUAGCUGGCUAAACCUAAGACUGUCCCGAAACUAGAUAAGUGACCCUGGCUAACAGAGCCGAAAAAGGGUUUAAAGCUGAUGCAUCAUGUCUUGCCCAUCUAUUUCAAAACUGUUUUUGGCUUCCAACUAAACUUGUCUUCAAAAUUGCCCUUUUGUUGAAAAAGUUUCUCUCCUUUUUGGUUGAAAAAGUUUAUCUCUUUUACAAAACAUCUUGGUUUCAAAAGGAAAAGUGUUUCAAAACUCUCUCAAUAUUCUUCCCUUUUCACAAAUAAAGCAAUUUUAACCCCCCUUUCUCAACUCAAACUCUAUUUAUGAAACGGUUUAAAAACAAGUUAUCUUCAAAAGGUGUUACCAAUCCUCUUUCUGAAAAUCAAAAGUUCUACCUUCAACCAACAAAGUGGUUUUCAAACCAAAGAUCUUUGGCUCAGUUUUGUUUUAAAUGUCUUUGAUUUUAUCUCAAGAGCCAAAUUCCUUUUAAAAUUCAACCUUGCCUUAAAAGAAAAAGGAAUUCCCAGUGAUUUAUUAAACAAAAACCAUUGUGAAAAGUUUUUGUUUAGCAACCUUUCAAAAAAAAGAACGAAAUGGACUUUCAAGUUUCAAAAAUGUUUUGGUUGUGAAGGCUCUAACUUUCAAAAUGCGAAAUGAUUUCUUGUUAUUUUCAAAACUAAUUUGUUUGACUCUAAUAAAAAGGGAGCAAUACCUUGUUUUAAAGAAAAUAGUAAUAAUAAAAUGAAAGAAUUUUAAAAUCUUUUGAUUUGAAAUCUUUUAUAAUAAAACCUUCAAAAUAUUUGGUUCUCAAAACUUGUAUUGAAUUCAACCCUCUGCAAAAGCUCUCUUCAUUUUGAAGUCUCAAAAAAAAAAUUGACUUUGUAAAAUCGCUUUCACUCCAUUUAUGAAACCUGUUUUUUUCCGAAAAACAUUCCUUUCAAAAGCUUUUUGCAAAGAGUGAUGCAUGAAAAACCGCUAGUGAAAGCCAACAACCCUAGCUAUGUUUAAGCCUGCCAUGCACUCCUAGAGAGCCAGAUGUUCAUCAACCUGGUGCGAUUCUUGGAUACCCAUCGCCUUGUUGUGAGAAUUUGGAUACCCAACACCAGCGAGUGAGCCUUGGAUACAUCCUGAACAUGACUCGCCCCCACAUGGAAAAGGUUUGUGGAGCCAUCUUUCUGAUAGCAGUUAACUCAAAAGUAAGAAGAACUUCUGAAACGACGCCCUCGUUUCUUCACCGACCGAGCAACGCCUAAAUCUCGGGACGAGAUUCCUGUAAGGUGGGUGGACUGUAACAUCCCGGAUUUUUACAAAAACCAAAAAUACGAACUUUUUAAAAUUUUUCCUGUAAUCGUGUGAAUCAUAUAGUAUUUAGGUCAAACUCGAUCCUAACCCGCUAACAAAUCGUGGCAUACAUAUAGAUUUGUUUGUAGACGGGUCGUCUUAAGUUGGAUCUUGUUAGGGUUUUGAGUUUCUUUUGGAGUGCACAAAUCCGUAGCAAAGCCUUCCCGAAUUUUCGUUGAGCCUAUCUCAAAGGCGAAGCGGAUCCCUUCUCAACCUUUUCGUUGGAGUACGUCUCAAACUCCUUUUGAUCCUUUUGAACUCUCCCUGAAAUUCCCUUCUCUCUCUCUUUGAUCUUAUCUAAAUCUCCUCCGCAAAAUCUAUCUUAAAUUCAUGGUAACUCAUCUCAAUCUCUUGUUGAGUUCUCUCUCGAAUGCCCCUCAUUUUUUUUUCCCUUUUAAAAUUUCUCUCAAAGCCCUUGAGUCAAAUUCGUAAAUGGAAGAUCCAUCUCCUUUCAUGGGCCAAUUCUUUCCUCCUCUUCCUCCCUCCCUCGGCCCAGCCUGGGCACCCUUCCCCCCUGUCCGGCCCAACUCGCGCGCGCCAAGGCCCAGUCUGCCCCUUACCCCCCAGCCAGGUCGGCCCACCUCGUUCCCCCUGUCUCCCCUCCGAGGCCCAGCUCUUUCCUUGGCCCAUCCAGUGCCGCGCUGGCCCAUUCGCUUCUCCCUGCUCUGGCCCAAGUCGUGGCCGGCCCAGCAGCCAGCGCCCCAGCCCCAACCCUAGCAGGGAGCUGGACACCUGAGCCCCAGAGCCGCCGCCGCCGUCGCCCAAGGCAGAGCCGCGCCAGCGCUCGCGCCUGCCACGGCUUCCGUGCGACCCCGCAUCCACCGCCGCGUGUCCCGCUGCGGACACGGACGCCGAGGAUGGCCGCAGCGUCCCUGGAGCCCUAGCGCCCGCGCUAUAAAAGCGGCAGCAGCCGCUCGCCCUUCUUCUACCCGCCGCCGCCGCCAUAGCCGACUCGAAGCUCCGCACCCUCACCAAGCGCCUCGACCCCGACCUCGCCCCGCGCACCUGCACCACCGAGCUCGGUCACGCCGUGACGCCGUCGAUCGCCACCACGAUGUCGCCCGCAACUGCGUCGCCCGAGCGUCUCGUCCUCGGCACCACCUCGGCACUCGCACCGCGCCCUCGCCGAGCAGCAGCAGAGCCGCGGCCAUGGCCUCGCCCUGCCGACGCCGCCAAGCACCACUGCGCCCGCCUCGGCCGUGCCCCUACCUCUGUGUCAAGCUUCAUCACCACGCGGGGGUCAGCCGCGGUGCCGUCCUCGCUGCGCAGCGGCCUCGCCCGGCGACGUCGAGCCCGCUGCCCUCGCCGCGUCGAGCUUCGACCACGGCCGGCCGCGUGGACGCCACAGCCCGGCCGAGCCUCUGCCUCGCCACCGUGGGAGUCGCCGCGGCCACGACGCCUUCAGCCCCGGCGCCCCUCCGCGUCUACGACGGUGUCGACCGCGAGCCCCCGUGCUGUCAUGGAGCUUACCUCGUCGAGCCGACACGCCGUCGACAGAGCCACCGAUGCCGCGCGCCGGGCACCAGAGCAAGCCCCUUCGCCGAGCACCCGAUGCGCCCCGUUGCCGCGGCCACGCCAGGACAUCGCCAUGGUCACCGCGUCAGCGCCGGCCGUGGUGAUCGCGACCCCGACCACGACGCCGUGCUCAUCUUGCCACGGUGACCGCGAACUUCCCUUUUGCUGGCUGCCGAUCACCACUGAACGUGCAGCAGCGGCAGCACCACCCCGCGCGAAGCUCUUCUCUGCCGCCGGUGAGCCACCAGUGCCCAAGUGCCCUCCUUGCUAGCUUUCUGUUUUGCCUUGCUGAAACCGGCCUUUGUGCCGUGUUCUUCACUGUACAGGGAUGCUGCACCCAUGUCGUGCCACUUGCCGGAGCCGUUGGACUUAACAUCGCUGCUGUUGGAGCACCGAACCUCGAGGCGUUGCCGAACCCCAAGACUUCUCUUUCAGAUGCACCCCGGCCACUUGCAGCAAGCCGCGACCAAGCUGUAGAAGCCCUCUGCCAUCCUCGCCCGCAAGGUCGAACCUUGAACCUAGCCGACAUCGUCUCCGACGUUGGCAAAACCC
rnacentral:lncRNA from 1 species